rnacentral:lncRNA from 1 species
CUACCCUCAGCUCCAUGCUGCUGGUGCCGUGAAAAUGUGGGUCAAUGAGAAUCAAUGGUACAAUUAUAAUACAAAUACUUGUGCACCAGAAAAAGUAUGUGGACACUAUACUCAGGUUGUGUGGCAAAACUCGGUACGUCUUGGUUGUGCUAGGGUACGUUGCAACAACGGAUCGUAUUUUAUAAUUUGCAAUUAUGAUCCACCAGGUAACUGGAGAGGAAAACGUCCCUAUGGUGAUCUUGAAGAACAACAACUGGCCUUUGAUUCCAAGUUGGAACUUCCCAGUGAUGUCUAAGAGUAAAUAAAAUCAUGAAUAAUGCUUAAUUCACGUGUUAAUGAAAAUAAAACCCAGUACUAUUUGCUAUAUAUGUUGGAUGUUAUCUUACUAGCUCAGUUGGAUAAUUAUCCAAUGGUGCAGAUCUAGUGACUGGUUAACCUAGGGGAAAUAUGUUGUCUACAUUGAUAUUCAUAUGGACCCUUGCAUGUUGUUUAAUUUAAUCCAAUCACUUUAUAUAUGAGUAUUUUGUCUACUUUAUUUUAUUCAUGUUCCUAUUUUACAACUUUGGCACUAUGGGGUGUGGGUUGUAUUUUCUAGUUUAAAUCUAUAUACGGACAAUAUACUAUUUUUUUACACACUAUUAAUUAAGUCAUCAAGAAAUAAUUCAUAACAACAAAUAAAUUAAUAUAACCUCGAAAAUCUGCUACAACAUCUGAGCAUGUUAAAUACUCUGAUAAAUUAAAAUUAUUUUUUCGUACACUAACAUAAUGUGUGCAAGUUAAAUAGGUAAUUUUGACCGUUGUACUAAUUCACAAGCCUAUUUUUGUUAAUUGUUUUAUAUACAUUUCUAAGUGUUCUAUCUUGAUAUGAUAUAAUAUUUUUUGGACCGCUACUCCUACUUUUCGGGUGUGCAUGGUGUAAACGCAACAACAACAACAACAAAUCCAGUGUAUUCUCAUAAAGUGAGGUCUAGGGAGGGUAAAAUGUACGUAGUCCAUGUCACUACCUCCGAAGAAGUAGAGAGGCUGUUUCCGAUAGACCCUCGGCUUAGGCUAAAGAAUAGUACACAAGGUCGUAGUGAAACAUGAAGCAGGAUGGAUGACAUAACGUAAAUAAGGAAUAAGCAAUAAUAAAAUAGAUAUCAUAGAUAUAUGAAAUAAGAGAAAUAUGAGUAAUUGAAAAAAAGAAAAAAGAGAUAGGACACCCACCUUGUAGUAAUACACACCCACAGACCAAAGACACCAACCACACAAACCCUACUAACUAGGGGCUCCUACUAAUGGACACAAUCCUAUGCUUACUAACCCAGUUACACAAGAUCUCUACUAACAUCUUGCUACAACCCACACACUCACAAUAGCCUUCUAUCCUUAUCCGCAACCUCCACAGCUUCCUAUCUAGGGUCAUGUCCUCAGUAAGCUGAAGCUGCUCCAUGUCAUGUCUAAUUAUCUAUCUCCAGUAUUUUUUCGGCCUACCUCUACUCCUUAUAAAGUCAUCAAAAGCUAACCUCUCGCAUCUACGAACUGGGGCAUCCGUGCCCCUCCUCAUCACAUGUCCAAACUAUUUCAGCCUUUCUUCUCGCAACUUGUCCUCCACUGAAGCCACUCCCAUCUUCUCCCUGAUAGUCUCAUUCCUAACUUUAUCCCCUCUAGUAAGUCCACACAUCCAACACAACAUUCUCAUUUUCGCCACCAUCAAUCGUUGAAUGUGGGAGUUUUUGACUGGCAAACACUCCGCUCCAUAUAGCAUGGCCGGCCGGACUGCCACUCUGUAGAAUUUGCCUUUAAGCUUAAGGGGAACCUUCUUAUCGUACAACACCCUUCAUCCAACCUGCUCUAAUACGUUUAGAGACAUCCUCAUUAAUCUUGCCAUUCCCCUGAAUUAUAGAUCCAAGAUACUUAAAACUAUCUCUCUUACAAAUAUUCUAGAAUCCAACCUCUCCACCACUUCUUCCUUCUGACUCGAGUCACUAAACUUGCAUUCCAUAUAUUCCGUCUUCGACCUACUCAACCUAAAAUCCUCAAAUUCAAGGGUUUGUCUCCAAACCUUCAGUCUUUUAUUCACACCUUUCCGUGUCUCAUCAAUCAACACUACAUCAUCUGCAAAUAACAUACACCAAGGCACCUCACCUUGAAUACUCCGCAUCAAUACGUUCAUCACCAAAGCAAACAAAAACGGGCUAAGAGUCGAUCCCUUAUGCAAUCCUAUCUCGAUCGAAAAAUGCCCUGAGUCUUCUCCUAGCGUCCUCACUCAGGUCUUUCCUCUAUCAUACAUGUCAUUAAUAGCUAUGAUGUACGCCAUCGGGAUCUCUCUCACCUCCAAGCCUCUCCAAAGAACCUCCUUAAGGACUUCGUCAUACGCUUUCUCCAGGUCAAUGAACACCAUGUGCAAAUCCCUCUUCCUCUUCCUAUACUGCUCCACAAUCUCCUCACCAGGUGGAUUGCCUCUGUCGUUGAGUAACCAAGCAUAAAACCAAACUGGUUCUCUAAAAUAGACACGAACCUCGUCAAUCACCGCUCAACCAGCCUAUCCCAAAUUUUCAUAGUGUGACUCAAUUGUUUAAUACCCAUAUAGUUGUUGCAACUCUGAAUCUGACCAUUGUUUUUAUAUAACGGAAUCAUCGUACUCCAUCUCCAAGCCUCAGGCAUUCUCGUAGUCUUGAAAAUGUCAUUAAACAAAUCAGUCAGCCACCUUAAACCUGCUACACCUGUAUAUACUUCCAAAAAUCCAUCGAUAUCUCGUCAGGCCCCGUUGCUCUACCCCUCCGCAUCCUACGAAUAGCCUCUCUGACCUCCUCAACCUUAAAACAUCUAUAGUAACUGAAGUCACGGCUCCCCUUCGAGCGCUCCAUCUCCCCUAACUCAAUGCCUCUGUUUCUCUUCUCAUUCAAAAGUCUAUGAAAAUACUUCUGCCACCUCUUCUUAAUGUGAACAUCCUCCACCAAAACUCUACCAUCCUCUCCUUUAAUGCACUUCACUUGAUCGAGGUCACGACCUUUCCUCUCCCUAGCCUUAGCUAGCCUAUACAACCUUUUUCCCCCUCCUUUCUCUUUUAACCCCGCAUACAAGCACUCAAACGUUGCUGUCUUAGUAGUCGUAACUGCUACUUUAGGCUUCUUUCGUGCUACUUUUUAAACCUCCCUACUCAUCCGCUUCUCCUCUUCAUCUUUACUCUCAAUCAACUUAACAUACGCCCCCUUCUUAAUCUCCACUUUCUUCUUAACUUCUUCAUUCCACCACCAGUCCCCCAUAUACCGACCUGCCCGACCCUUCGAAAUACCCAACACCUCUCUAGCCGUCUUCGUGAUGCAACUGGCAGCCUUAUCCCUCAUACCAUCCACGUCCCCCAUUCUUGCCAACUUCUCCCCUAUCUCCUAUGCACUAACCGACGUCAAGCUACCCCACCUAAUUCUGGUUUGACCCUCUUUGGCUCUACUCUUCCUGCUCCUCUUAAUAAUCAAGUCCAUCACUAAAAGUCUCUGCUGGGUCGAAAGGUGCUCACUUGAAAUGACUUUACAGUCCUUACACAAAACCCUAUCUUCUUCCCUAAGCAGCAGAAAGUUAAUCUGAGUCUUGGCUAACGCGCUUCCGAAGGUAAUUAGAUGAUCCUCCUUCUUCGGAAAGCUCGAAUUCACAACCACCAGCCCAAAAGCCCUCGCAAAAUCCAACAGAGGAACCCCCUUACCAUUUCUAUCGCUUAAACCAAAACCUUCAUGCACAUCGUCAUAACCUCGUAACACCCCAACACGGUGUAAAUGCAGUGUUGUACGAUAACUUUCAAAACACACAGGAAAUAUAAAGAGCACAUGUACACUAAAUAAGUCUGAUGCGAUGAGCUAACUGCGUUGGUGGGUAAUUGAUCCCUUGACUGGCCCCCCUAAUAGAUAGGAUACAUACAUACAUACAUAUAUAUAUAUAUAAAUAAUUAUUAUAUUAUAAUAUUAUAAUAUAUUAAAAGUGUAAAUACCCUUAGAAAAGUGAUUUGAACUUUUUGUCCUUCAUUAAAAGACUUUCCUUUAGACAAAACUGUCUUUUCACUAUUUUUUAAUUUAUUAUUUAAUUAUUUUUUACUAUAUUAACUAGACUUCCUAAAACAUAUGGGGACUCCUAAAACAUAUGGUAGGAGAAUUAAUUAAUAUUUUUCUUUCUACCAGACUUCCUAAAUUAUAUGGGACUCCUUAAAUAUAUAGUAAGAGAAUUGAUUAAUAUUUUUCUUUCUACUGUUCAAUUAGAAAAAUACUCCUAAAAUAGUACUCUAUUAAGGAAAUACUUCUAAAAAUAUUGAGAUGUACGUUAAACUAGAAAACAAACUGAUUAUCCCAUUGGGAGAAUAUAAUUGAUGUUCAUCUAACUUGAUUCGAUUGCAUGUCUAGAUUAGUGGAUUCUUGAUUUUCUAACCCCCAACUUCUUCACUAUUUUUGUCAGUAUAAUAAAAUUCAACAUGUGUGUAUAUAUACAUCUUCUCUUUUUUCAUUCAAAAUUAUUCUUUCGGGUCAAAAUUUUAGCUCAGACAAGAAUUAGUUGGAUCAAAAUCGAAGUUUUGUAAUCACUAUUAUAUAUAUAUUUUUUAUAGUUUACAGGUUGUUGGUUGGCUUUCAAAAAUUUCUUGUGUAAAGGUUAUGUUUAAUUGUAUUGUUUUGAUAUCUUUAUUAUCUUAUUGUUUUAUUUUAAUUUACAAAUGCUAGAUCACUACUAAAAAAAAAGAGGAAAUCCGACCACAAAAACCUACUACAAGUGGUCAGUUUUUCUCAUUUUCCGACCACAAAACCGACCAAAAUUUUUGAUCGAAAAAGUAGUGGUAGCUUUUUUAAAAACCGACCACAAGUGGUAGGUUUUUUAAAAAUAUAUAUAUUCAUUUUAAAAAUUUAUUAUUAUUUUAUUUAAAUGAAAAAAAAAAUUUAGGAAAAAAUAAACCGACCACAAUUGGUCAAUGUUUUGCAAAGAAAAAUAUNNNNNNNNNNNNNNNNNNNNNNNNNNNNNNNNNNNNNNNNNNNNNNNNNNNNNNNNNNNNNNNNNNNNNNNNNNNNNNNNNNNNNNNNNNNNNNNNNNNNNNNNNNNNNNNNNNNNNNNNNNNNNNNNNNNNNNNNNNNNNNNNNNNNNNNNNNNNNNNNNNNNNNNNNNNNNNNNNNNNNNNNNNNNNNNNNNNNNNNNNNNNNNNNNNNNNNNNNNNNNNNNNNNNNNNNNNNNNUAUAUAUAUAUAUAUAUAUAUAUAUAUAGAAAAAUCGACCACUUAUGUUCAGUUUUUUUGGGAAUUUAAAAAAAUAAUAAAAUUGAAAACCCAAAUACUGCAUGCAACCACAACAGAUAUAUAGAGCAGUAACCAAAAUGAAAAUACAACAACAAAAAAAAAAUAGAAAUUUUCAAAAGUGUACAACACAUACAAAAUAACCAACAAAAGUGAAUAUGAAAAUACUACAACAAUAGUUUCAAACAACAAAAUGUCUAAAUUUAAAGUACAAGACAUACAAAAAUCACAAACUAACAGUCAUCAUCAUUGAAUUCGUCCUCGUCUUCCAUAUCAUCAUCCGUGCUGAAAUCAUCCAGGGGGCCUAGACCUUUUGCAGCCCGAAUUGCAUCACCAGGACAGGAGGAAUAACCCCCCAGUCUGAAUGAAAGAACUGAACUGCUGAUGCAGGAUCCUGAUUUGUGAUGCCGUUGCCUCCUCCGUCUUCUUCUGCCUCACACUCUGUUCAACAUAACUCUGUCUCUGUUUAGCAAGCUCUCUGGUGAGUUGAGAAAUCGUAUUUUGUAGUCUUACAAUGGUUUCUGCAUCAACCGAAGAGAUAGAGUAUGCAGGGCCGGACGAACUCCUAAUAUUAUCGCCAAAAUAUUCAGUGUGGCAUCCGUAGAAAUGUCCUCUAUUUGCAAGACCUGAAGCUUUUGUCCAUACCUCAUUCCGUAAUGCUGGGGUAUUGGGUCACCCUGACUUUCAGGAGGCAAACUACUACGAUACUCACUAAGAAGACGCCUAAAUUCGUCCUAUAUAUAUUCAAGGUAAAUUUAAUACUAACAGUAAAAAAUACUAAAAUUGUUAUAGUUGAAUAAUAUCAACUUUGAGAAAAAAAUUCAUAAAUACAAAAUUUAUUUCUUACGUGGAUAAACUUUGCACGAGGUUCAACCCAGACAUCUUCAUCAUUCGGGUUCAAUUUCUUUCUCAGAUGAGUCACCUCGAAAACCUCACCAGUUGCUAGUUUCCUACCCAUUUCUUUUUUCUGCAUAUGAAAAAAUUAUCAAUGUUCAAAUAAUAAAAAAAAUUAAAUAGAAAUAAAGAAUUAAACUGCAAAAGUUACAUACCAAUUUUUCUUUCACUGCAAGAGUACUUCUAGCACCUGUAGUAUGUAGGGAACCACCCUUGGAUGAUGCCCGGACUCCCUUUCCUUUUUCCCUCAACAAUUGGUAUUCUGGGCUAUUCCAGUGGCGCUGAUACAGUGGCCAUAAGGGUUCAGGAAUCCACUUAGGUUUUACUGAUUUCUUUCGAGCAUAGUCCAAUAGAUCUUUAAAUCUGCCUCUACAUCUUUUAAAAAAGUUCCUCUUUAUAAGAAAUUCAUUUGCAGCAUCCCACCAGUAAAAUCUCUACAACCAAAAUAUAAUAUUCAAUCUUGUGUUCUCACAAAUUGUUAAUAAGUAAGCGAUAAGUUAAAUCCUUACCUUAAAUUCUUCUAACAUUCUAUCCCUGUCAAGUUCUGGAACCUUUUGACAGCUGAUCCAGUAGCCGUUGAAGUGCUGACUAAUGCAUAUUCGCGCCGUUUUUCCAACUCCAGCAUCCGGCUUAAACCUACAACACAAGAUCAAACGAUAAUUUCAUCGGGAACAAUAAAAUAGUAAUGGAGAAAAUGAGUAACGUUAUUAUAUUUAGAAAUCUUACCCUCUCGCAACUGGAACCAUAUAAAUCCUUGCAGAAUCAUCUCUGUCACCUAACUGCCUAAUAAGCGAUGAUGAAUGCACUGGCAUAUGAAAAUAUUUUAAAACUGUGGUAAAUAUUUUAAUAUCAAAAUAUCGUCCUAAACAUAGUAAGCCAAGUAUUUAUUCUCAGGCGGAGGUGAUUUAAUCACCUUAUUUUUUUUUCCCAACUAAUCCUAAUUUUAUAUCAUUUGUUAGGUGUUAUGAUCCUCUUAUUUAAUUAAGAUUGAAUUAUUUUUAACAUUUUUUUGUUUUCGCAAAAAAAUACUUUUAAAAUCAUUUUUAAUGUUCAUGUAUUAACAACAAUUAUUCAUAAAUUUAACAAGUUUUAUAUGAUCGUGCAAAGAGCGAUUAAGUUACCUAGUUAUUGAAUAAAUAUAUUUGAGUGAAGCAUAUUUUUCAUUGAAAGAGAAAUAAUUCUAGGUGAAAAUUAUUUUCCUUAUAGCUAUUUUAAUUUUAAAUUUCGACCACUAUUGCUAACGUCAACAUUCAAAUUAAACAUCAUUUGGAUGUUAUUGUCAAAAUGUAAUAUCUAAAAUUCUCAUCGUAAUACUUUCCAAUUUGCUAAUAUUAUUAUCAAUUCUAAAAAAUUACAACGAUGCAAUAUUUUAGUAAAAGUUAUAAAUAUUAGCAGCAUUGGUUAAGUUAAUAAUUUAUCUGAUUAUUUACGGCAAAAAAAAAAAAAACUUAAUUAACAAACUGUGGCAGCUAAAUAUUUGCCCUCCAUAACAUAAUUCUUCUAUCAAAUGAAUCCAACGAUAUAUUCUUUCCUACUUUUCCCUAAUAAUUAUCUCCCAUAAUUAAGUAACAAACUAAUCCAAUCAAUCCGAUAAUCAUGCUUAAUUAAGCUCUCAAUUGGUACUCAAACCUUCCAUAUUUUCUCUCUCAAUAAUUGACUUCCUGGAUAAUUAUGGUGUGUUGCAGAUUUAAUUAGAAAUAUUAAAUUUUAUAAGAAUUAUAUUUAUUGAAUUAAUUAUAUAUUAAUAAAAUAUAUAGAAAAUUUAUUAGAAAUAUUUAAUUAUAUAAAUUGUUUGGUAAUAUAAUGGUACAAUUUAUAUUUGUGUGUCUUAAUGUAAUUGUAUAAAAGGUACAACAAUGGAAUUAAUUAUAUAUUUCGUAAUAAUCCGAGUAUAUUUCAAAUUUAAUAAGGAAUAGCUAAUUAAACAAAUCGUAUAAUUCAGAAAGAGUAUGUUUUUUCAAGAUAAGAAAUCAACGACAUCCAUAGUAGAUAAAAUAGAUCGAGGAUACCUACUUCAAUCAUUGACAUUUCAAAUUAAUGGAUUCGUUACAACAACAUUUCAUAAUAGAUAUAUAUGUUUCAAUAAUUAUAAAACGGUUAAAUUUAAUUAUGACGAUCAUUCAUUAUAACAAUUUCAUUUUCUCUCUAAUUGAUUUUUCAUGUUAUAUUUUAUUUAUCUGUGACAACAACAUUCUUCUUAUAACAAUAAUAAUAUUCAUUAUAACAGUAUGCUAGCCUUUUGUAAUAGAUGACCCUUCUAUAAAAAACAUACUCAAAUUUAUGUAACAAUAUUUUAAAAGAAAUAUAUUAUAUAUAAAAUAAAAUAUUAAAAUAUUAAAAUAUUUAUGAUAAUCAUCAUUAAUAUAAUGAAUAUAAAAUAAUUUCAAAUAUGAAUAUUGUUUAAAAGGAAAAAUACUGUAUCUAAAUAGUGUCCAUUAAUUAGGGAACAACUACUUUUGAAUUUAUUUAUGCCUUGUCUUUUCAAAUUUUUAUUAAUGAAUUAUGGAAAUCAAUCGAGAAUAUAAAUUUAACAAGUAUUUAAUAUUUAUUUAUAACAUAACAAGUAUAAAAUCUAAUUUGCAUAGUUUUAUGUAUAAAAGCUAAAUAAAAUUUAAAUGUCAAAUGUCAAUUUAUAUUUAUAAUAUCAACUCACUAAUCAUUAUAACAAUUAUAACACUUUCGGGCAAACAUUAUCACUAUAGAAAAAUUUAAUAAUAUAUUAGUCAUUGAUUUGCUGUAAGGCAGAUAAUUUUGUCACACAUCUUGUUAGCUAGCUCAAUUUGAAUUAAUACAUAAAAAUGACCCUAAACUUGAUACCAAAUUAUAAUUUUGAUCUUAAACUUUGAUAGUGCACAAAUAAGAUCUUUAACUAUUCAAAAUCUGAACAAAUAUGACCUCCGAUUUUACAACCCCUUGUGUGAGUCUCACUCGCGCCUACGUGGAAAGGUAAUCCAAUCACACGGUGCCACAUCGUUAAAAGGCUCACUUGGAGAGAGGUCAUAUUUGUGCAAUUUUAAAUAGUUAAAGGUCAUAUUUGUGCACUAUCAAAGUUUUGCUUUUUGUGUUAAAACGACGUCGUUUUUUUUAUUAUUAAUAUAAUAAUUUUUUUAUUUAUUUCUAUAGAAGCAGCACCUAACUUUUUUUAUUUUAAAAAAUUAUUAUUAUUAUUAUUAUUAUUUUAUUUAUUUCUAUAGCAGCAGCACCUAGCUUUUUUUUAAUUAAAAAAAAACAGCCACUAGCAGGUAUCGAACCCGCACAGUAGGCUAAAGGAAGCUUCCAAGAAGAGCAAAUAAUACCACUAGGCUAUCUAAGCGUCUUGUUUCAUAUGGUUCAACAUUAAUAUACGUACAUAAAUAUACAUUUUCUAUCUUAUAUAUAUACAACGUAAUUUUUUUACCGAGGGGGUUCGGGUGAACCUCAUGGCAACCAUGUAGGUCCGCCCCUCGUUAAUUUAAUAACGUUAAGUUAAUAACAUCGUUUAAUUAUGUUUAUUUGAUAACGUUAAUUUAAUAUACUACUAUUACUAUCCUUGAUAACAUUAAUUUAAUAAUGUUUUAUUAAAACUAUUUUUUUUUUUAUUAUUGGUAUAGUUUCAUCUUUAAUUUAAUAUUUAAAUUAAUAAUAUUUAAAUAUAUUAUAUAACUUAAAUUCGUCUUCUGCUUUAUAAUAUAUUUACAUACCCACUCAAUUUUUUCGUAGGCUGACCCGCCUAAUUAAUAAAUCUUCAAUAUUGCUCUUUUUCCGCAAUGACAAAAGAAAUUAGAUGUCAUUUUCAUCUUUGAGCCGAAAAUAAUGAAAAAAUAAUAGUGAAGAGUCAUUUAAUGGUUAUAUUUGUGCAGUUUUGAAUAGUUAAAUGUCAUAUUUGUGCACUGUCAAAGUUUAGGGUCAUAUUUAUGUAUUAUGCCCUUAGAUUUUAAGCUGGACGCGUUCAAUUUUGCGUGUUGAACACGCGUUUUGCCACGUAGGAUUGGAGGUCAUAUUUGUGUAGUUUUAAAUAGUUAAAGGUCAUGUUUGUGCACUGUCAAAGUUUAAGGUCAAAGUUAUAAUUUGGUGUCAAGUUUAAGAUUAUUUUUAUGUAUUAACUCGUUCAGUUUUCUUGCUUCAACUAUGACAUGUAAGAUUUAUGUUAUCCAAGCUUAGACAUAUAUAAGAAGGUGUUUGAAUUGAUUUAUUUUUAAGUAUUUUAGGUCUUUAAAUAUUUUUUAUUUUUAAAAGUGUUUGACAAAAAUAAAAAAUAUUUUUGAGCAUUUUAUUUUGUAACUAAAAAAUAUUAAAUAAGUCCAAAAUUAAAAACAAAUCACUAUCUACUUUUAACUUUUGGCCUUUAAGUUACUAAAAAAAAAAACGAAUUAUCGAAACAUCCUCCAACUUUAAUGAGUUUGUGAAAAUUCAUUUCCAAGUCAGCGAAAAAAAAAUAUAUUGUGUCCAAAGAAUAAAACGAAAGGGCUGCUAAUGAAAAAUAAUGAUUUAUUAAAGUUGUUCCAGCAAUCACGUAUCAUCGAGAAUGACUAGUCACCACUCACCAGUGACAGUUUUCCCUUCAACAAAUAGUUGCAUGAUAUGACAUGACAUUCAUAUGAACUAUGUUAACAAUUUAUAUUCUUUUCCUCCUUCAACUUGUCCUCCAAAUUAUUUUAGUAUUUAAAUUUAAUUUUAAAUUAUUUAUCUCUAUUAAUAUUUUUACAGUGAAUUAUUUUCACCCCUCAAGAUCGAAUACCACUUUCACAACAGAGAGUAUGUUACACUCGCCUAAACAUCAACGCCACAUUAGAGACACGUCAUUGCCACAUAAGAAGUUUAAUUUUUCUAAAAAAAAGUAAAUUCCCCGCACUUUAUUUUUAUAUAUAUUUUUUUAAAAAAAUAAAAAAUAUAUAUUCACUAUANNNNNNNNNNNNNNNNNNNNNNNNNNNNNNNNNNNNNNNNNNNNNNNAUAUAUAUUAGAUAAAAAAAUCACCCCCACCUCCCAUUUUUUUUUUCUUCACACCUCCCAUCCACCCCGCCCCCUUCCCUACAACGCAGCCCCUUCCCCCUUUCUAUCUUCUUCAAAUCAGCCCACCUCUCCCUCACCUUUAUUUUCUAUCUUCUUCAAACUUAAAGCAUAUUACCAAAUCAAGAAACAACCAAUUCAAGAAACAACAAUUCAAGAAACACCAAUUAUUCCUUCAUCAAACCACCAAUUCAAGAAACUCAAAUUUCUGGCACAACUUUACAACAUCAUCAGAAAACUCCAAUAAUCAAUUAAGACAUCAAUCAUGAAUUCAAUGAACUCAUUUUUUUUUUGUUUUCAAGUUUUUUCGAGCUUUAACAAUGGUGGAUACAAAAUUAAACUAGCAAAAUUCAUACCAAUCAAACUCAUAAUUCAAGUGCAACUUCACACCAUCAUCAGAAAACCCCAAUAAUCAAUUUGAAUACCACCCACAAAUUUGACAAACUCAUUUUUUUGGUCUUCAAGCUUUUUCAAGGUUCAAUAAUGAUGGAUACAAAGGGCAAUCUCAUAAAUCCAACAAUAGUUUUCUUGAAAAAUCACUUAAGUAAUUUAGUUCAACAAUCAUGUAUUGAAAGAAUCUUUUUUUACAAAAAUAUUUUCUAAACCCAUUAAAAUUCAUAACUUUUCACACAUAUUUUUUUUUUUCUUUCUUGAAGAAAUUAAUGAAGAUAAUAGAAGUGAAGAUGGAGAGUUAGAAGAAGGAGAAAAGAAAUUGGGGUGGGCUUUAAGAAGAAAUACAAGAAAACGGGAGUGGGGGGUGAGGGCGGCCUGGGGGAUAUGAAGAAGAUGAAGAUAGGGUGGGGUGAGAGGUAAGGGGUGGGUUUAUAUAUAUAUGUUAAAAAAAGUAGGACCAUAUCAGUUUUAAAAUUAAAAAAGGUUCUUUUAAAAAAGUGGGAUCAUAUCAGUUUUAAAAUUAAAAAAUGUUCUUUUUUUUUCUUUUCUUUUUUUAAAAAUCCACGUCAGCUUGAGGGGUGAAAAUAAUUCACUUUAAAGAUGUUAAGAGGGUUAAAUAAAUGAAAGUUAAGUUUAAGUGUUGAAGUGAGUUUAAAUGACAAGUUUAUCGGGGAAAAAUAUGUCUUUUCUCAUUUAUAUUUGGAAAAAAAUGAAUUUUUGUCCGUGAACUUUUUGACUUUUUUCGUAUUAGCAUCUCAAUUAGUUCAUGUACAUACUGACUCCCUUAUUCAUUCACAAAUGAUUUCAAUUAAGUACAACUCUCUUAUUGGAAAGUGUAUUGCACAUGCCAUGACAUGUCAGUAUUUGUGCUUAAUUGAUAACUAUUUAUGAAUGAAUAAAGAGUUCAAUAGGUACAUGAGCUAAUUGAGGUGUCAAUAUGAAAAAGUCAAAAAGUUAAGGAGCCUGUCUAUGUAUUUUGUCUUUAUAUUUUUUAGUUUCAAUUUAUUUAUUUAUCUAAUUUUAAUUUGAUAUAAAAUUUAAAAAAAUAAAAAGAAAAUUUUAAUUUUAUAAUGUUAAACUAGAAAUAUGAAUAAUGUAUUAAAAUGUAUUUUGACCUUGUGAUCUUAAAAAUAUCAUAUAAAAAUUAGAAAAAAUUUAAAAGUUGUUAAAAAAAAAAGAGACAAGUUUUUAAAACAAAUUAUUAAGGAAAUUACUACAAAUUGAAACUGAGAGAAAUUAAACUCUCAAUUAUAUUCAGUUCCCUUUCACAAAUUGUAGACUAUUCGACUCUUCUUCCCAAUAUAAAACCCACCCAAAUUAUUCCUCGAUUCUCAUCAAUACUCAAAAUGGGACUCUCCAAUUCCGUAAUUGUUUGUUUUCUAAUUACCUUUGCUAUAUUUCACUCGUCACAAGCUCAAGAUUCUCCCCAAGAUUAUCUUAACGCUCACAAUGUAGCUCCUAGACAAGUUGGUGCCGGCCCUAUGACAUGGGACAAUAAGUAGAGGCCUUUGCCCAAAGUUAUGCCAAUCAGAGAAUUGGGGACUGCCGGAUGCAGCACUCCAGUGGCCCUUACGGCGAAAACCUAGCUGCUGGCUACCCUCAGCUCUAUGCUGCUGGAGUCGUGAAAAUGUGGGUCAAUGAGAAUUAAUUGUACAAUUAUAAUACAAAUACUUGUGCACCAGGAAAAGUAUGUGAACACUAUACUCAGGUUGUCUGGCAAAACUCGGUACGUCUUGGUUGUGCUAGGGUACGUUGCAAUGACGGGUGGUAUUUUAUAAUUUGCAAUUAUGAUCCACCAGGUAACUGGUGAGGUAACGUCCCUAUGGUGAUCUUGAAGAACAACAACUGGCCUUCGAUUCCAAGUUGGAACUUCCCAGUGAUGUCUAAGAGUAAAUAAAAUCAUGAAUAAUGCUUAAUUCACGUGUUAAUGAAAAUAAAACCCAGUACUAUUUGCUAUAUCUGUUGGAUGUUAUCUUACUAGCUCAGUUGGAUAAUUAUCCAAUGGUGCAGAUCUGGUGACUUGUUAAUCAAGGGGAAAUAUUUUGUCUACAUUGAUAUUCAUAUGGACCCUUGCAUGUUGUUUAAUUUAAUCUAAUCACUUUUUAUAUGAGUAUUUUGACUCCUUUAUUUGAUUCAUGUUCAUGUUUUACAACUGUUGGCACUAUGGGGUGCGGGUUGUCUUUUCUAGUUUAAAUCUAUAUACGGACAAUAUACUAUUUUUUUACACACUAUUAAUUAAGUCAUCAAGAAAUAAUUCAUAACAACAAAUAAAUUAUUAUAAGGGAUAAUUAUGUAAUUUCGCCAAUAUUAACUCCUAAUUAUCUUAUUUAGCCUAAUUUUAAUUAAUUAUAAUUAAUAGUCUCUUCUUGCCUAUUAAUUUUUCAUAAUUACAUUCAUAACCUCUCUCAUGUAUUUUUUUUCUCUAUUAUCUAUUACUUUCCUUUGUUUUCCUUUUUCAAUUUUUUUUCUUGUUUUUCGUUUUCUCUUUCUUUAUUUUUUUCUAUUUUUUCGUUUUCUUUUUUUUCUUUUGUAUUUUUUUUCUUUUUCUUUUUUUUUCCUUUUUUUUUUUUCUCUUUUUUUUUUUUUUUUUGCUUUUUUCUCUAUUUUAUAUUACCCUUUUUUUUCUUAUUUUUUCUUCAUUUUUUCUUUUCCUUUUUUUUUGUUUUCUCUUUCUUCUUUCUUUUUCGUUGUCUUUUUUUCAUUUUGUCUUUUUCUUUUCUUUUUCUUCUUUUCCUUUUUAUUUGUUCCCCUUCUAUUUUUUUCUUUUGUUUUUUCUCUAUUUUCUAUUACUCUUCUUUUUUUUUUUUUUGUAUUUUUUCUUCUUUUUCUCACAUUUUUUUUCCUUUUUUUAUUUUUCUCCUUCUUUUUAUUUGUGCGAACUAGCAAACAUAAAUACAAGUGCGAACUAUAACAUAUAAGUACAAAGACGAAUUAUAACAUACAAAUACAAGUGGAAACUAUAAAAUACAAAUAUAAAUGCGAACUAUAACUUAUAGAUACAAGUGUGAACUAUCAUUUGCAUUUUUUAAUUAUUGAAAAAGAACGAUUGAUUUUAUUUUUACGAAUAUUUAUUUGUAUUUAUUUAUACGAGUUGUAGUUAUUGAUACAAAUAAAUACAAUUCAAUUUUUUUUAUAAAAAUACAAUAUAUAUUUGUAUUUUUAAAAUCAUUGGUUUCAUUUGUUUGCAAUUGUAUUUUUAUCAAGUGAUAUUUAUUUAUUUACAAAUACGAAUAAUAAUUUUGACAUACAAAUACAAAAUGGUACAUUUGUAUCAAAUGAUACAUUGUAUAUUUAUAUAUUUUAGAAUCAAGAAAAUACAAUUAAUGCAUUUACUUGUUUGUAUACAAAUACAAAUGAUANNNNNNNNNNNNNNNNNNNNNNNNNNNNNNNNNNNNNNNNNNNNNNNNNNNNNNNNNNNNNNNNNNNNNNNNNNNNNNNNNNNACGAAAAUAGAAUACAAAUACAAAUAUAAUCUAAAUAUACAAACACAAUAAAAUCAUAAUACAAAUAUAAUCCAAUAUAAUAUACAGUCAAUUAUAAAAUACAAAUACAAAACAGUUCUUUAAAAUACAAGUGCGAAUUAUAUAAAAUAUAAAUGAUGGUGCGAACUAAAAAAUACAAAUAUAAGUGCGAACUAUAAAAUACAAAUAUAAACGCGAACUAUAAAAUACAAAUAUAAGCGCGAACUUUAAAAUACAAAUACAAAUAUAGUUGUAUCAAUGAAUACAAAAAUAUAAAUGAUGAUGUGACUACAAAUAGAUAAACAAUUAUGGUUUUUACGUUAUCAUCAAUGACCUCUGCUCAAGUAGUUAUAUUUUUUAAAAAUACAAAAAAUAUAAAAUAGAACAAAAAAUGAUGAAAAAAUAAGUACAAAAAAGAAAAUAAAAAGAAAGAGAGACAGGAGAGAGAGAAAAAUAUAUAUAAAAAAAUAAAAAUAGGAAAAAUUAGAAAAAAGACGAAGAAAAAAUGAGGAAAACACACAAAAGCAAAAAUAUAAAAAAAUAAAAAGAUAAAAAAAUGGUAGUGUUUUUGGCAAGACUAAAUAUGUAGUGUAUUUAUGUUUUUAUGAAUACAUACCACUAAAUAAAAGUGAAUACAACGGCUGUGAAUCGAAUACAUCAGCUAAAUGGUAUUGUAUUUAUAUUUUAUAUGAAUACAAACUAUUGAUAAAAUCGAAUACAGCGGGCGUAAAUUGAAUACAACGACUAUAAAUGGUAAUUAUGUAAAAUAUGGCUAUGAAUGACUAGUUUUUCAGUAAAAUGUAGCUAUUUUUGAAAGAUCCUCUUAUUAUAACCUCGAAAAUCAGCUACAACAUCGGAACAUGUUAAAUACUCUGAUAAAUUAAAAUUCUUUUUACGUAUACUAGCAUAAUGUGUGCAAGUUAAAUAGCUAAUUUCGACCGUUGUACUAAUUCACAAGCCUAUUUUUGUUAAUUGUUUUAUAUACAUUUCUAAGUGUUCUAUCUUGAUAUGAUAUAAUAUUUUUUAGACCGCUACUCCUACUUUUCGGGUGUGCACGGUGUAAAUACAACAACAACAACAACAACAGACCCAGUGUAUUCUCACAAAAAGAGGCCUGGGGAGGGUAAAAUGUACGCAGUCCAUACCACUACCUCCGAAGAAGUAGAAAGGUUGUUUUCGAUAGACCCUCGGCUCAGGCUAGAGAAUAGUACACAAACUCGUAGUGAAACAUGAAGCAGGAUAGAUGACAUAACAUAAAUAAGGAAUAAGGAAUAAUAAAAUAGAUAUCACAGAUAUACGAAAUAAGAGAAAUAUGAGUAAUUCGAAAUAAGAAAUAAGAGAUAGGAUACCCACCUUGUUGUAACACACACCCACAGACGAAAGACACCACCACGCACAAACCCUACUGACUAGGGGCUCCUACUAAUGGACACAGUUCUAUGCUUACUAACCCGGCUACACAAGAGCUCUACUAACAUCUUGCUACAACCCACACAUUGACACUAGCCUUUUACCCUUACCCGUGACCACAACACCUUCCUAUCUAGGGUCAUGUCCUCAGUAAGUUGAAGCUCUCCAUGCCAUGUCUAAUCACCUUUCUCCAGUAUUUUUUUUGGCCUAUCUCUACUCCUUCUAAAGCCAUCCAAAGCUAACCUCUCGCACCUAUGAACUAGGACAUCCGUUUCCCUCCUCAUCACAUGCCCAAACCAUCUCAGUCUUUCUUUUCACAACUUGUCCUCCACCGAAGCCACCCCCAUCUUCUCCCUGAUAGUCUCAUUCCUAACUUUAUCCCCUCUAGUAAGUCCACAUAUCUGACGUAAUAUUCUUAUUUUUUCCUCCUUCAAUCGUCAAAUAUGGGUGUUCUUGACUGGCCAACACUCCUCUCCAUAUAACAUGGCCGGCCAGACUGCCACUUUGUAGAAUUUGCCUUUAAGCUUAAGGGGCACCUUCUUAUCACACAACACUCCCGUGGUGAGCCUCCACUUCAUCCAACCUGACCUAGUACGUUUAGAUGCAUUCUUAUCAAUCUCGUCAUUCCAUUAAAUUAUAGACCCAAGAUACUUAAAACUAUCCCCCUUACAAAUAUCCUGGGAGUCCGACCUCACCACCACUUUGUCCUUUUGACUCGAGUCACUCAACUUGCAUUCCACAUAUUCUGUCUUGGACCUACUCAACCUAAACCCCUUAGAUUCAAGGGUUUUCCUCCAAGCCUCCAGUCUUUCAUUCACACCUUCCCGUGUCUUAUCAAUCAGCACUACAUCAUCCGCAAAUAACAUACACCAAGGCACCUCACCUUGAAUACUCCGCGUCAACACGUCCAUCACCAAAGCAAACAGAAAUGAGCUAAGAUUUGAUCCCUGAUGCAACCCUGUCUUAACCCAAAAAAUGCACUGAGUCUCCUUCUGCUGUCCUCACCCGGGUCUUCCCUCCAUCGUACAUGUCGUUAAUAGCUCUGAUGUAUGCCAUCGGGACCCCUCCCUUAUCCAAGCAACUCUAAAGAACCUCCCUAGGGACUUUGUGUAACGCCCCAAAUCUGGUACCCGAAACAUUACAUGGUGCUCAUGACCCGAAGGACCACAAGCUAACCCAUGACUUAUAGUUGUACCUGUAUACUGUAUAACAUCAUGUAAAAAUGCAGAAAUAAUAGAUUGAAACAUGCUGUAAGAUUCAAAAUAGAUAAAACAUAAUAUCUGAGAGUACGGUAUAUCAAUACCAAAACAUGGUCUGAAAUAAACCGUCUGAAUAUACUGUAGUCUGAAAAUCCUCUAACUAUCUGAACUGUUUGAAUAAGGAGUUGAUGGAACAUGUCCCCAACUAACUCCAUCUACUGAAAGCUAAAUUAAAAUAGUGAAAUAAAUAAUAAUAUCGUCCUCGAAUGAUGAAGACUUACUGCUAAAUCUGGCUGCUAAAAUUUAGAGUGCUAUUGAUGCUCUGGGACUCGUGCUUCUGGACCUUUGGUAUAAAACACCAUAGCGCAAAUGCGUUAGUACGAUUGAAUGCACUGGUAUGGAUGCGAGGCAGGCUAAAUGCAGAGGGUUCAAAUGCAUGAACAAUGCUAACUGACUAUAUAACAUGAACGCGAGAAUACAUCAUGAAUAAAUUACUGUAACUGAAUUUGUGAUGAUACUGACUACUGAGUCUAAAUACUGAUAACAUAAGUUACUAAUAACUGAUACUGAGCGACUGUAUCUGACAGUCUAGGUUCUGAUGGAACUAACUGAGUUCCGUAUUGUUCUGAAUUGACUGUAUAUAGUCCUGAAUUCCAUAGAACUAUUUGAGUUUUAUUACUGAGACUGAGACUGAAACUGUAACUGUGGGAAGUAGUCAUCUAACCGACAUGCCCCAAAUAAAGCAAUAUAGCAGAGUUGGGGUCAAAUGUGUAUCCCCAAUUGGAAGGGUGUCAAUACCGCGCCACCGAUAAGGAUAAGCUGUGAGUGACCCUUAACUGGCAGGUACUCAAAUGAGAAUGGUGGGAAUCCUCAACUAGUAGGUAAACCACCUCAUCCACCCUCAACUGGCAGGUUAGAUGUCUCAACCUAUGCUGGUUACGUAGUUCUAGAAUGUAAGGAUUGCUUCUAAGAAUCACACCCUCUACUGGCAGGUGAGUUCCUAUCCUUGGGUUCACUCGUUGCUAAAUCCUACUCCCAUCUGAAUAGACACUGAACAUGAUUAACUGAGCUGAACUGGACUGAGUUAACUGAAGUCCGUUGACUGACGGAAUACUACUGAGAUUAUUGAAUUGUUGAGCUUUCCUAAGUCACACGACUAACUGAGUUCUAUUGACAUGACUUGACUGAGAGUAUUGUGAAAACAUGACACUGGCUCUAGACACACAGCUAAGUUGUCGGGUACAUGUUACCCCAGGACUCGAUAAAAAGAAACUGAUAAGGCAUGAUGUUCUUGAAUACAUGACCAACAUCAUCAAUUCACAAUAUAAUAAGUUGGAGAUUUUAUGUAGCACAUGGUUAUCAUAAAUUUUUACAUGGUAGGAAUGCAUAUAAUAAGUAUCAUAAUUUCAUACUCUAACAUCAUGAGCAUUCCAACAAACAUCUAUAUUGCACAUCAAUAGCAUGUGAGUUAUUUGAAAAUAAGGGUAAGACAUGCAUUUAUUAUAUGGGUUACAAUUGGGCUAUAAUACAUAAUUUCUAUCCUCUUAGGCAUUUUAUCAAACACCAUACAUGCACAACAUAUGGCAUAGGUGUAAUCAUCAAAUUACACAUCAUAAACAACUCAAUUCAUGGAUUUCAACUUGCAUGCUAACGUAGUUUCAUGAAAAACACGUAAAGAUUCCAACUUGGGAAUCGUACAACAAGAUAAACAUGGUUACAAAACAACCCACAACAUAAAUAUCAUGAUUUAUAAUUUGAAAUAGGGUUCUUGAGCUUUAUGAAUGAAAGAAGUCCAUAAAUCAACACUAUGCAUAACUUGGAUGGAAGAUUCUUGAAAUCAAAUGGUGAAAUUCUUGAAAUUGGAUCCUCAAUUGGUAACCCUAAGCUUGUUCUUGAUGGAUUUGAGAGAGAAACCACUAUAAUUUGGGUGAAAUAGGGCUGAAUUACGUGUUUGUGAAUUAUAUAAGGGUGAAGAAUUAACCCUUUUGCCCUUGAGGAUGCGAUCAUUUAAGGACUAAAAACUGGGUGUCGACGCUACAAGCGACACGGUGCGUUGAUAACUGUGACACGAUACUCGACGCAUAACGCCAUGAUCGCAUCGAGCGUCAAAAGUUUUGGCUCUCGAAACUUGCACAAUUGUUGACCAACGCGAUUGGCGACGCGGCACACCAAGAUCGCAUUGGUCCACUAUUUUAGGACUCCGAACAUGAUCUAAACAUGUUCUGAAAAAUCCAAAACUUGUCCGAAAACACCUAUUGACCUUUCUGAUCAUGAAUUAAUGAAAAUACGGGUCAUUAAAGGACAUUAAGAUGGCGAGAUGAGAUUGCCAAUUUUCGAAGGCCAAAAUACGCUAAGUCUUGGAACUUGGUUAGAAUUUUCUAGGUUUGGGACCCCUUGACAAGCUUAAAGGACUGAAUUAAACUUAGAAGUUUCGCGGGGUUUACACUUUGUCAUACGUUUUCUCUAGGUCGAUGACCACCAUGUGCAAAUCCCUCUUCCUCUCCCUAUACUGCUCCACCAAUCUCUUCACUAGGUGGAUUAUCUCUGUCGUCGAGUGACAAAGCAUAAAAUCAAAUUGAUUCUCCAAAAUAAACACGACCCUCCUUAGUCGUCGCUCAACCACCCUCUCCUAAAUUUUCUUAGUGUGACUCAACAACUUAAUACCUCGAUAGUUGUUGCAACUCUGAAUCUCACCAUUGUUUUUAUAUAACGGAAUCAUCGUACUCCAUCUCCAAGCCUCAGGCAUUCUCGUAGUCUUAAAAAUGUCAUUAAACAAAUCAGUCAUCCACAUUAAACCUGCUACACCAGUAUACUUCCAAAAAUCUAUCGGUAUCUCGUCAGGCCCCGUUGCCCUACCCCUCUGUAUCCUACGGAUAGCCUCUUUGACCUCAUCAACCUUAAAACAUCUACAGUAACUGAAGUCACGACUCCUCUCUGGGCGCUCCAGCUCCUCUAACUCAAUGCCUCUGUUCCUCUCCUCAUUCAAAAGUCUAUGAAAAUACUCCUGCCACAUCUUCUUAAUGUGAACAUAACUCUACCAUCCUCCCCUUUAAUGCACUUCACUUGAUCUAGGUCAUGAACCUUCCUCUCCCUAGCCUUAGCCAGCCUAUACAACUUCUUUCCUCUUCUUUCUCUUUUAACUCCGCAUACAAGCCUUAAAACGAUGUUGUCUUAGCAACCAUAACUGCUAAUUUAGCCUCUUUCCUUGCUACUUUGUAAACCUCACCACUCACCCAUUUCUUCUCUUCAUCUUUAAUCUCAAUCAACUUAACAUAUGCCCCCUUCUUAAUCUCUACUUUCUUAUUAACUUCUUCAUUCCACCACCAGUCCCCCAUAUGACGACCUGCCCGACCCCUCGAAACACCCAACACCUCUCUAUCCAUCUCCAUGAUGCAACUGGCAGCCUUAUCCCAUAUAUCAUCCAUGUCCCCCUGUACUCCCACACCCCCAUUCCCGCCAACUUCUCCCCUAUCUCUUACGCACUAACCGACGUUAAGCUAGCCUACCUAAUUCUGGGUCGACCCUCUCCGACCCUACUUUUUCUACUCCUCUUAAUAAUCAAUUCCAUCACCAAAAACCUGUGCUGGGUCGAAAGGUGCUCAGUUGGAAAGACUUUACAGUCCUUACACAAAACCCUAUCCCCUUUCCUAAGCAGUAGAAAGUCAAUCUGAGUCUUGGUUAAUGCGCUUCGGAAGGUAAUCAGAUGAUCCUCCUUCUUCGAAAAGCUCGAAUUCAUUACCACCAGCCCCAAAGCCCUCGCAAAAUCCAACAGAGCAACCCCCUCACCAUUUCUAUCGCCGAAACCAAAACCUCCAUGCACAUCGUCAUAACCUCCCGGUAACACCUUAACACGGUGUAAACGCAGUGUUGUACAAUAACUUUCAAACCAAACAGGAAAUGUAAAGAGCACAUUUACACUAGAUAAGUCUGAUGCGAUGAGCUAACUGUGUUGGUAGGUAAUUGAUCCCCUGACUGACCCCCCUAAUAAAUAGGGUACAUACAUACAUACAUAUAUAUAUAAAAUUAUUACAUUAUAAUAUUAUAAUAUAUUAAAAGUGUAAAUACCCUUAGAAAAGUAAUUUGAACUUUUUGACCCUCAUUAAAAGACUCUCCUUUAGACAAAACUAUCUUUUCAAUAUUUUUUAAUUUAUUAUUUAAUUAUUUUUUAUUAUAUUAACUAGACUUCCUAAAAUAUAUGGGGACUCCUAAAAUAUAUGGUAGGUAUAUUUUUCUUUCUACUAGACUUCCUAAAUUAUAUGGGACUCCUUAAAUAUAUGGUAAGAGAAAUAAUUAAUAUUUUUCUUUCUACUGUUCAAUUAGAAAAAUACUCCUAAAAUAGCACUAUAUUAAAGAAGUACUUCUAUGAAUAUUGAGAUGUACGUUAAACUCAAGAACAAAUCGAUUUGCCUAUUGAGAGAAUCUGAUUGAUGCUCAUCUAACUUGAUUCGAUUGCAUGUCUAGAUUAGUGGAUUCUUGAUUUUCUAACCCCUAACUUCUUCACUGUUUUUCUCAGCAUAAUAGAAUUCAACAUGUGUAUAUAUAUACAUCUUCUCUUUUUUUAUUCAGAAUUAUUCUUUAGGGUCAAAAUUUUUGCUUAGACAAAAAUUAGUUGGAUCAAAAUCGAAGCUUUGUAAUAACUAUUAUAUUAUUUAUUUUUUAUAGUUUACAGGUUGUUGGUUGGUUUUGAAAAAUUUCUUGUGUAAAGGUUAUGUUUACUUGUAUUGUUUUGAUAUCUUUAUUAUCUUAUUAUUUUAUUUUAAUUUACAAAUGCUAGAUGAAUGUCAGUCGGCUUUGAAAUUUUUUAUAGGUAAAGGUUAGGUUUAAUUAUAUUGUUGUAAUAUUUCUAUUAAUUUGUUAUUUUGUGUUAGUUUACAGUUCGUAGAUGAAUCUUGAUUGGCUUAGAGAAAUUUUUGUGUGUAGAAUUUAAGUUUAAUUGUAUUAUUUUGAUAUCAUUUUUGUCAUUUAAUUUUGUUACAAUUUACAGGUGAUAGAUAAAUGUUGGUCGGCUUUGAGAAAUUUUCUUAUAUAAAGGUUAUGUUUAGUUGUAUUAUUUUGAUAUCUCUAUUAUCGUAUUAUUUUGUUAUUAUUUACAGGUGGUAGAUGAGUGUCGGGUGACUUUGAAAGAAAUUUUGUGUGCAGAGAUUAGAUUUAAUUGCAUUAUUUUGAUGUAUCUAUCAUUGUAUUAUUUUUUGCAAUUUACAGAUGGUAGAUGAAUGCUGAUCGACGUUUAAAAAUAUUUUUGGUAAAUGUUAGGUUUAAUAAAUAAAGUCUCCAUCUUUACAUACUCAAAAGAUAUUAAAUUUAAUUAUUAUAUUCAUCUUAUUAUUUAAAUAAAUAUCCUAUUUAUUGUAAUAUUUGAACUCAUUAAAAUAAGGUACACGCGCAAGGCGCGUACACCUAAACUGUUAUAUAUAUAUAUAUAUAUAUAUAUAUAUUAGACAUCGAAGGCCCCGUGCUAUCACGAGCCCAAUAUAUUUUUUUGUCUCAAUUUAUGAGACAUAAAUACUAUAAUUUAGAUAAUUAAUUAUUAAAGUAAUUUUAUUUUUUAAUUAUUGUGAUUUGUAAUACUUUUUCUUCUAUUCUAAUUUUAGUGACAUUGAUAUAAUUUUGAAAACCAACCUAUGUGACACCAAUAUAAUUUCGAUAGUCAAUUAAAUGUUUUAUUGUGAUUUAUAAUACUUUUUCUUCUAUUCCAAUUAAAGUGAUUGAUAUAAUUUCGAAAAUCAACCUAUAUGGCACUCUAUAAUUUCAAUAGUCGAUCAAAUAUUAUUGUGAUUUAUAAUACUUUUUCUUCUAUUCCAAUUUAAGUGACACUGAUAUAAUUUCGAAAGUCAACGUAGGUGGCACUAAUAUAAUUUCGACAGUCAAUCAAAUGUUUUAUGUUGACAUAUCAUUUUGUGUCCAUUUAUGAAUUAUUAUUAAUUUUCUAAUGCGGCCAUAAUAAUUAAUUAGGGGUCAUAUAAUAAAAUCACGAUUGAAGAAGCGAAGAAGACAUGUCUUAAAUGACUUAUAACAAUUAACUAAAAGUGAUAUAAUAAAAUCACUAUGAAAAAAUACUUGUGGAAAAAAGCAUAAAUGAGCCUCAUAUAAGACAUCAAGUUAAUUUAAAAAAUUAAAUAUUAAUUUAUUAUUUUAUGUCUAUUCUAUAUUUUUUAUUAAAUAUUAUAAAUUUUAAUACUUAAAUAACCUAUAGUAAUUAAUUAGGACUAAUAUAGUAAAAUUAAGACUAAAGCAGGCAGCACAAGCAGGCAUGUCGAAGACGUGCCUGCUUAUCCCCACUUAUUAUAGAUAGUUAUAUACAUAUAUAGAGAGAGUGAGAGAGAGACCAUCCACCCUAUAUAUACCAUUUAAAAAAUUAGCACUUAAAAAUAAAACAUAUAGCGUAAUUUUUUACGACACAAUUUUGGGAAUUUGGGGUAUACAAUUAAUUUUAUACAUUACGUAUAGCGUAUACAUUGUUAUAUUUCAUACAGUAAGGUAAUUUGUUGAAUUACCUGCCGGAUAUUUUGUAAUUAAUUUUAUCUAUUUGAAUAUGAAUUAUGAUAGUUUUUUCAAAUAAACAUUUUGGAAUUAUUAUUUUCUACCGCAUGAACAUUUCUAUUAUAUUUCCCUAGAACUACUUUAUUAGUUUGAUCAAUCAGGAUUCAGGGAGAACAAUUUUGGAUGGAUAGGCCCUGGGAAAAAAUAGGUUCGACCAAGAAUUGAGAGAAACUUACCAGGGAAUAAUUGGCAAAAAAAGAACCCUCCAAAAUUAAUUUGUCAAAUACCUACUUAAUAACCUUUUUGAUUUAUUUUUUAAAUUUAGGGUGUAAAAAGUGGGGCCCACACGUGGGCCAAGGGACCAAUUCAUUAUUUUUACAACUUUACAAAUUUAAUAUAAUACACUUAACACCCUCCACUUAUUCCAAUAUUAAAAAAACCCACCCUCUUUUAAAACUACUUCUCCCAAAAAUGUCAUUUUCAUUUCGUGUUCGUCUUCAGCUGCUAAGGGGUCGUUGUUGCUUCGCAAGGUUAGUUAAAAUCAAGUUUCGAUCAUUUCUAGAUCCAUUUAAACGAUUUUUUUUGCUAAUCGAUUGAUAGUGAUGUAGGAUUUUUUUUUUUCGAUUUUGAUGUUUUGGUUUAGUCGUGGUUUUUCUAAGUAACGAAGUGUUGAAUGGUGGGAUAAUUAUUGUUUGAAGAGUUAUUUUGGCAUUUUGAUUUGAACAACGACCUGUUUCUGUCCGUAGACCCGUGGUCUAUCCGUAGACCCGUGGUCUAUGAAAUGAGAAUGCCCUAGAUUGAAAUCAAUUUUAAGAUGUAUGAAAUUCUUUUAAAACAUGAUUGUUGAAAUAGUGAAAAUUGAAAUAUUAAUAGCUAAUUAGUUUGAUUAGGUGCACUAGUUUGAUUUUUAGCAAUUGUUAUGUUUUGAUAUUGCAUGUUGGAUUUAGGUUCAGUUAUUGUAUGUUUGUGUAGUGAACUAUUUAAUGGUGGAGUAUUUGUUAACUUUUUGGGGGGUUUUCAUUUAAGCAUUAGGUUAUUUCUGUUGAUAGAUUUGUGGUAUAUGAACUGAAAAUUGGAGAUUUGUUCUUCAGGUAUAGAUUGUGUUGAAAAUGUGUAAAAAAAAAUAUCAUUCCUAAACGCAAAGCCAGUACCACUGGUAGCAGUAGAAAAAGAAGAACUGAGGCAAUUGAAAAUGUCUCAAAAAGGAAGAAAAUUAAAGAGUCGGUGUCCGAAUCAGAUUCGGAUUUAAAGGAGAUAAGCGACUACGUCGAUUCUAGUAAAGAUGUUGCCAAGCGGAGUGUCGGUGGUAACAGUGAAGAGAGCAAGGGAAGUGGGAGUAAUAGUGAUGAUGGGGAUAAUGAUUCCUUGUCUGUGCCAUAUCUUUCAAGGUGCAUUUCCGUGGAGCGAUAUGACCUUUGAAUGAUAAUUGAUGAGAACGGAUCUUUCUCGGCAAAGAUAUCGGUCAGAUCAAGAAUGGUUGCUUAUCGAGAAUUUAAGCAAGUUCUUGUCAACCAAGAACUGAAGAAAAGAUUCAAGCGGUCCUGUUUUGGACACCUGAGAAACCUGCCAGAACAUUUCAAGUUCAAUGGGCAGUUGGUCCAUUAUUUGUUGUUGCGAAGCAUCAGGAUCGAUAAGAUACAUCAUGAGACGUGGUUCUGCAUUAACAACAAGCCUGCCUAUUUUGUCUUGAAAGAGUUUUGUUUGAUCACGGGGCUGAACUGCUCAUCAUACCCCAAUGAAUAAAAAAAUGAAGAAGGUGUUAGCAAAUGGGGAUAAUUUUUAUUUUAAGGUGACGAAAAACAAAAACAUUACGGUGGCCAACUUGUUACAUCUAAUCAGAGGGAAUAAGCUGAACGAAAACCAGAAGUUUAAGUGCUUUCUACUGUGGUUCUUGCACACUAUGUUGCUUGCAAAAGAUUCGAUGAAGUUUGUCGACACAAAACUGAUUAGAAUGGUUGAUUCGUUGAGUUUCUUUGUGAAAUAUCCAUGGGGGAAAGAGACAUUUCAACUGACCAUGGACUAUCAAAAGAAGAAAAGUGAACUGAAGAAACAGAAGGAAGUAUUUGAUGAAAAGCAGAAGACAUCCUAUGCUCUAUUCGGAUUUCCCUUGGCAUUCAUAGUAUCUACCAUAAACCCUUCAGUGGAACACUACAAAAAGUGACAAGAUAAUCGAAGGCGACCCAUUCAAGUAUAAAGGAAAAAUUACCGAGCUAUGAACUUAUUUCGUAUUAUGCAAUAAUAUUACCGUUGUAUGGAAUGUUAUGUAAUUGUUAAUUGAUAUUUUGUAGAACGUCCACCCGUACAUCAUCCCUACUGUUCGUGAAACGAAGAUGGAUUACACGAUUACGUUUGAGUCAUAUACGAACGAGGUGAAGAAUAACGUCCUCAAUGGAUUGAAGAAAGAGUUAAAAGUGGUGGCUGUCUUUACUUCAAAUGAGGACAGUGAUGAUGAUGGGGAUUUGGGUGGUAACCUCGUUGGAGUAUGCAUUGGUGAUGAUGAUUCUUCGAGCACCUCCAAAGAUGCAGCGGGAACCUCAUCCCCCAGGGAUCUUUAUAAGCGUGUUGCUGCGCUCGAGGAAGCGGUGUUGGAUAUUGCUGCCUAUAUCAGAGAGAAAAGAAUGAAGAAAAAGGAAAAGGAUGAACGACAAUACGAGCGAGAUAACUUUAUUCAAAAAUUGAUGUUCUCAAUAAAUUUUCAGCUUUAAAUAUAAGUAACACUUUGUAAUAUGAUGAUAUAGUGCAUGUGGACCUUUGUGAAUCGGAGAGGAAUGAAGAAGGAGAAAAAAAGAGCAAAAUGGAUGAGUUGGCCGCUGUUGUGGCAGAAGAGGAAAAAAAAGAAAAAUGAAGGAUAGUGAAAAAGAUAAGAGCCAAGAAGAAGGUGGAAAAGUAGCAGCUGCAGAAGCAAAAAAAGAAGCAUCAGCAGAUGAACAAGAAGGUGACGAAAAAGAAAAACUGUUGAAGAAGAAGCUGACAAAGCUGACAAAGAAGAAGUUGAGACGAUUAUUACCUGCUGCAAUAACUGAAUAAUUAUAUUGUAUUAUGCAAAAAUUAGAUAAAAACUUGUCAUAAGGUUCAAAACAAUAAAUAAAUAAGUGUGGAAGAAAAGGAAAUUGAAGAAGCACCAGCUGCUGCACAUGCUAAAAAAGAAGGAGAAAAAGAUGAGAAUGAAGAAGCAGUUACAACUGUUGAGAAAAAAGGAGCUGAAGCUGACCAUAAAGAUGCGGUCAUGGACAUUGUUGAUCAAAAUCAAUAGUAACACUUGUGUUGAUGAGGAACUUAGGGAAAAAGACAUUUGAAUCCUAAGCCGUUUAAUGUGUUGUUGAAUCAUGGUUGUUAUGAUAUGAUAAUUUUUUUUAUUCCACAAAUAUGAAGGUUGUAGGAUCUGAUGGUAGGAUAUGACAAUUAUUCUUUUAUUUUAUGAAACUUGUUAUGAUUCUGCACUGAAUCUAUUUCUGUCAAACUGAUUUGUGGCAUGGAAUUUGAACAUGCAUGGUGAGCUCAUAGUUGGUACAUUGUAUGCUUGAUAUCAUAGAAUGCAUACUUAAUAUUUCAUAUACCGUAUGCAUAGUUUAUCAUUACCCUACUGGUCGAAUUUAAGUUGACAUGUUGUUUAAUCGACUAUGAUUUUAUCAAAAAUAGUAUUAAUAUUAUAGAAAAAUAAAACUAUUAAUAUUUAUUCAAUAUCACUACAUCCAUGUUACACUUUUCCAAAGAACAAAUACUUGCAUUAUAGCACAUAACAUCAUUUUUAGGACAUUCUCACUUUCUUCGGCCAAAAUCAAUUUUUGUUUUAGUUAAUCCCUCUCUAUUUGGGUGUUAUGUAGCAAUAUUUUAAAGUGAUCCCUUUAUUGUUCGGCUUCUUUGAAUAAAGUCAUGAGAAAAUCUUUAUUUUCUUCGCAUUGUUGGAGCUUUUGUAGUAGAUUAAAUUUUGUCAAGCCUUGAAAAUUUGAUGUCUCGAGUCCCGGACUCAACAGUGAUGGACUGGUUGUAGGAGAUAGUUCAUCAAACCAUUUAAAAAACGAGCAUGCGCCAUUAUCCUAGGAAAAAAAUAAUAAUUACAUAACGAUUAACUUAACUUCUUUUAAAAAACACACAGAGCUCACCUUCGCAAUUGCACAAUUAUAAAAUUUGCGACCUGAAUUUGAAUUUGUGUGUGACGUCCUCAAGACAGCCGCAUUCCCACAAUGACAAAUUAGAAUAUUUUUAGAAUUGGAUGUUUGAGAUACCUGCAACAUUGUAGAAUUUAUAAAAACAAAACAAAGUGAAUGAAAUAAAAUAAUGAGGGAUGGACACCUUAUAUAUGAAGUAAAAACGAAGUGUGUUAACACUGAUGGCUUACAAAAACUAGUCGUUUAUUACCGUUGAAAAAGUAAAUUUUUUUGAACUGGUGGUGAUACUUAACAGGCCGUCGUAGAUCAUGGUCUAUGUCAGUCAUCGAUUUGUCAGAGCUACCAUAGACUUACACCUUUAGUAGUGCAUCGAUUGAUAGCCUGGUUAUGCGUAGACUACGGUGAUGUAUGUACACUUCUAUAGACCAUCACUUGGAUGUAGUUAAUAAAUAAAUAAAUAAAUAAAUUAAAAAUAAUUUAAAAUAUAAUCACAUGUUUUGUGGUUGGUGGAAGAAAAUAAUUAAAUUAAAAAUAAUUUAAAUAGACAAUGACAUGUUUUGGGGCUGGUGGAAGAAAGUAAUUGAAUUAAAAAAAAUUUAAAUAUAUAAUCUUGGAGUGGUGGUGACACUUAAUAGACCGUCGUAGAUCAUGGCCUAUGUCAACCAUCAAUUAGUUUGGUCUACCGCAGACUUACAUCUUUAGUGGUGCAUCGAUUGAUAUCAUGAUUAUGCGUAGACCACGAUGAUCUAUGUACACUGUUAUAGACCAUCACUUGAACGUAGUUGAAAAAUGAAUAAAUAAAUUAAAAAUAAAUGAAAUGUGGAUUUCUACAUAUGUGGAGGAGUGUAAACAAGUCACAUAAUCAUAUUAAAGCCUAAACAAAUUAGGGGGGUGAAUUAAGGAGCGUGUGGAUGGGUAGUGGCUGAAUGUUCAAUAUCCUAAGAGUAAUGUUUGUCAAAGCACAAGUAUGUAUUGAGGAUGAUGUCUGUUCUACCACUAUCAAUUCCACACACUUUUGAUUUAGGGAUGGUGAUGGAAGGAGUAUGUGGAAUUUGUUGUCAUCAAAUACAAUACAUAUCCUCAAAACAUACUUGUGCUUUGACAAACAUUACUCUUACGAUAUUGAACAUUCAACCACUACCCAUCCACACACUCCUUAAUUCACCACCCUAAUUUGUUUAAGCUCUAAUAUAAUUAUGUGACUUAUUUACACUCCUUUACAUGUGUAGAAAUCCACACUACAUUUAUUUUUAAUUAAUUUAUUCAUUUUUUAACUGCAUCUAAGUGAUGGUCUAUAACAAUGUACAUAGAUCACCAUGGUCUACGCAUAAUCAUGAUAUCAAUCGAUGCACAACUAAAGGUGUAAGUCUACGGUAGACCAGACUAAUCGAUGGCUGACAUAGGCCAUGAUCUACAACGGCCUAUUAAAUGUCACCAGCACUCCAAGAUUAUAUAUUUAAAUCUUCUUUAAUUAAAUUACUUUUUUCCACCAGCCCCAAAACAUAUCAUUAUCUAUUUAAAUUAUUUUUAAUUUAAUUAUUUUCUUCCACCAGCCAUAAACCAUGUGAUUAUCUAUUUAAAAAAUAUGUAAUUAUCUAUUUAAAUCAUUUUUAAUUUAGUUGUUUGUUUCCACCAGCCACAAAACACGUGAUGAUCUGUUUAAAUCUUUUUUAAUUAAAUUAUUUUCUUCCACCAACUCCAAAAUAUGUUAUUAUCUGUUUUAAUUUAACUAAUAACCCAUCGAUUAACAUGGUCUACGAUCGAAUGAUAUGUCUAGUCGAGGAAGGACUGAGUAUACGAUUGAUGAUAGACUAUAUAUUACUCUUUCGGAUAUUAUUCAAGCUAAGCUACAGAACUGUAAUUUGAACAAGGCAUAUAUAUUUGAUUCGAGUUUUUGUCUGUACAGAAGAAUAACCGCCACAUAAAAAAAUAAGGGAUCACAACAAAGAUGGUAAACACAAUGUUAAAACAAACUGAAACAUACUUAUAUUAAACUUGUUCAUUAUAUUACAUAAUAAUAUUUACAACAAAAAGGGAAAAAUAGAAGAAGCUUUCUUCUAACAAGAUCCUACAAGAAAGCUUCUUCAGCAAUGAACAAAUAAAAAAAACUUAAAAACAUAAAUUAAAAUACAAAGUAAACUAAAUUAUGGGGAUGGUGGAGGGUGACGUAGUUGUUGCCAUCCAUUCCAAGAUGCUCUAGAAUUGCUAGGUCCAUUCGGCCUUCGGAGAGACAACAUUAAUUGCUUUCGAGUAUGCGAGGAGUUAACUUUCAGCUUUAUAAAUUGGAGAAGAGUAGUCGUAUAUGGAGUUGCCAUAAACUUCGCCAUCGCCAUACUUUGCUCGCAAAGCUGCCAUUGCAUGUUCGCAUGAUAUUUUCACCAAGUCAAAUUUUCGACAAGAACAACUCUUCUUCAAGAUAUUGACCUUGGUAGUGAUGCCAUUGUCGAACACCGUGUUAUGGUCGAGAAUCCUAUUUGGAUUACUCACAUACAAGGAAUCGCUCGCGCUCUUAUUAUCCCUUAGGAUCCUUUCCGCAUAAGGAACAAAUAUGUUCUCUUUACCAUUGACAAAGGCAUGCCGCUUCCUAAACUUUUCACCAUAUUUUUUUGUAAUUGAAUUGAAUAUGUACGAGAUGGGGUACUCCCGUUCAUCCAUAAAAAUCGAGUUGAGCUACUCGGCGAUGUUUGUGGUCAUCACGUCGUACCUAUUGCUUGGAAAGUGUGCUCUACUCUAUUUUUCAGAACAAAGCACAUUUUCAAGGACAUAUGCUGCCUCGGGGCACUUACUCUUCAAUUCCGUAAAAUUAUCACCAAACUCAUCAAAGGAAUAAGCCUUUAUCGUGGCAUAGAAUAGAUAAAAAUGUUCUCCGCAGUGUUGAUUUACGAAAAAGAUUUUCAAUGAGGUGCCUUAUGCAAAUUCCAUGAUAUGCACAACUGUAUACACGGGAGAAGGCAUUGAGAUGCUAAUGUGCCUGUCAGAGAUGACACAUAGAUCUGGUUCAUCUUCUAUGAUAGACAUCAGCUUCUGGAAGAAGAAGGUCCAAGAAGCAUCGUUCUCUUUAUCGACGACACAAAAGGCAAUCAGAAAGAUAUGAUUUUCAGUUUCCUGUGCAAUGGCACUCAACAGAACGCCCCUGUACUUUCCAUACAAAUGUGUGCCAUUGAUGGAAACUACCUUUCUCAUGUGGGCAUAUCCCCGUGUGCAAGCUCCGAAUGAUAAGAAGUGGUAAACGAACAAACCAUUCAUUCGGUUUAUCAUGAUAGAGUAAGAAGACCCGAGAUUUAAUAACUCCACCACGUGGCAAAAAGCUGGCAAGCAAGCAUAUCCGUGCUCCGAUGUCCUGCGAAUAAUGUCCUUCGUAAUUAUACUUCCUUUCCAACACAUCCAAUAGCUUGCGUUUCAACGUAACUCCUUAAACACAUUCCUUUGAAUUUAUCUUAUGCAUGGACCCUCAUCAUCCCAAAAAUAAUUUAUGCAUACUAAAGCAAUCAAUUCAGAUGAGACUUUCUUGUGCCUCCGGGUGGCGUGUUUAACACCGCAGCUGUGCAAUCCGACAUACUUGUACAUGAGAAAUCGGUCUGAGGUAUCAUACUUUUUUGCCCACAACAACCAGCUAGAACCACUUGAUAAGCAUUUUGCCUCAAUCAAUUUCGUGCAGCUCUUCUCUAUAUAAUAAUAAAAAAACUGCCUCGCUACUGCGGCGUCUAGUAGUAUUUUCAGUUUUUUCUUAUCGAUAAAUGUUUGACCACAACAAAAAUUGGUUUCGUCGAAGAAGGAGUGUCCUGGUUGUGAUGUCGUUCCACGGCCUUCUUCAUCAUUUUGCGAGUCCGAUGAAAAUUCUUCCAUUUGCAUUGAAUCAUCUUCCAUAUUGAAUGGAUGAUUGCCACCGUUCUUGUAAUCAUUCAAAUUAUCGUCGAUCAAAUCAUCGUCGAUUGCCGGGCGCCGCAGUGGGGGUGUUGAUGAGUUCAGUGGUCCUUCAAAGGACCUCUUAACCAUAUUUAUCCUCAAAAUAGGCCUAAAUCCAUCUGCAUCAACAUCCAUUAUGUACGUUAGCACACGUACAUCGCUAUUUAUGAUCGUAGGAUUCACCUUUACCCGCGAAUGCAUUAGAUAACUAAUAACCAAGUUGCUCGGUGCGCAAUCUAGAUCCCUGCUCUGCAUUACGCUUUCUACCAAUUCAUCGUACGAACUGUUGCGGCGAACAGGAAUGAGAAUUGUCACCUUGGUAAAUGAUCUCCAUUUCCAACAUUUGUGAGUCUCCACCCAUUCUCCCAUGAAAUCACCAGAAACCAAAGCAAAUUCUGCAAUAGACAUUCUGCAAAUUCGAUGGUAGAUUAUGCUUAUGGUCUAUGUCGGGUUAUAUGCAUGGUCUAUGACUGACGAUGACGGGUCGAUGGUUGCGCAGAUAUCCGUACAAAAACUUGAAAUUGCAAAUAUUGCUUCUAAUCAAUGAUUGUUGGGUUUAUGGAAUAGAGAAAUGUACUUGGAAUUGCCUGAGAUGCUGUAAUGCACUUUCUAAAGUGGUUUUGAGUAAUGUGAGUGAUUUAAAGCUUUUUAACAAUGGUGGAAAGUGUGUUUGAGAAGAUAGGAAACAAAUGGGGUAACAAUGGAUGCAAUGGACAAGCUUAUGAUGUUUGUGGACUGAUUUGCAUCUAAUCGCCGAAAAAUAACACCGGAAAAGUGGCCGGAAUCGGAGCUUUUUGGAGGGAAAAAUAACCACCUUCUAUUUUUAGCUUUUGAAUUUUUUUUGUUAAAUAUUUUUGGAAAACCUAGAUAUUUUUGUAUAUAUAAUGGUGGAUGAUGAAGUGGGUUAAGUGCAUUAUUAGAAACUUGUGGGUGAAUUUAUUGAGUUGAAAGUAUUGGGUGAAAGUGAAUUAUUAUAAAAGUUGGGUCUGAAAUUGUUAAGUUGGAAAAGUUGAUGGUGAGGUGGAAUUAUGUGAGUAUUUGACCAAUGUUUUAAAACUUUUAGGGGUCGUUUGGUAUAGUGUAUUGAAUAAAACAACAUAUGCAUUAAUUAAUGUGUAUUGUUAAUACCUUGCUUGGUAUCUUUUUUAGCCUAUGUAUAACUAAUACUUGCAUUAUUUAUACACUCUAUUAUGUAUUGAGGUGUGUAUUAGUAAUACACACCAUUUUCAAUGUAUUAGUAAUACCAAGCUGUCCUCUCAAAACAUUCUAUCCUUAUUACUGUCCUCUCAUUUUUCCAGAAAUAACGUCAAUACACCAAUAACAAUGAAUCCAAUUCUUUCUUAGCUAAUGUUUAGCUUGUACAAUUCGACGAUUGCAGUGAACCUGAGAGUUGGUUUUGAUUGAGGAGUUGAUCUCAACCAAAUAGAAUUACAAAGCUAAGACAAAAUUUAUGUUUAUUUCAUCUGCCCUCUGUAUUUUUUUACACAGCAGCUUCCAAUGACAGAGAAAAGAGGGAAUUGUGAGAAAAAGAGAGUGAUUGAAGUGAAAUAGAGGGAUAACAGAUUUCACAACCAAAAGAGUUUUGAGCUUUCUGAUGAAUUCUCACCAAGAAAUGCCGACCCAUCCUGUGAAGCAACCUCCAUCAAAAAAUGCAAAAUUAGCAACCAAAAAUCUCUCUAAUUCCAACCAAACCCUACCUCGAAACUCCAAUAAAAUUGACCCGAUUAUCCCGCUCAUUUCCUCACUGUCGGAGCUCACCGGAGCUCCAUCAAAGCAAUGACCACAACCCAGACACUCCGAUUCUGAUUGAACCAUUGCUAGAAAUUCGACCAAAACACCUUUUAAUUUUUGUAGAAAAAAUCAUGGAAAUAGUGAGUAUAUAAAAGAUGCAGGGAGGGCAAGGGCAUUUUGGUAAAUAAGUAUCUUUUUAUUAAAAUUAUAAAAAUAUAGAUUAGCUUUAAUACAUCCAACCAAACGUUGUAUAAAAAAUAGUGUGCAUAACUAAUACUAGUAUUACUAAUGCUUGCAUUAAUAAUACAAGUAUUACUAAUACACCUUAUUCAGCAUUAUUUUUAUACACUCUAUCAAACGACCCCUUAGGUAUUUGACAAAAUAGUUUGAAAAAAGAGUUGUUUUGGCAUACUUGCCCAACUCACCAAGAAAACCAUAUAAAUCCUUAUUAUAAGAAAAAAAAAAAAAGAUUUGUUUAAAGGGUCAAUGUAGUACUCCCCAUCAUCCCAAAUCUUAGUGGUUCACCAGGUAUUGCUAUUAUUAUUAAAUGGCGGCUUUUACGUUUCUGUGGAGAGGAAAAGAAAAAAAGGUAGUUGCAAAAUCACUUUAUGGAGGCUGCGCUUAGCUACAGAUUUGUGUUUUAACAAAAUCAAAAUUUAAAAGGGGUAGAAUCUUUCAGAAAUUUACUAUGAAGAGUGUCUUACUAGCUAUAUCUAUAAUAUUAUAUGCAAGUCGUUUCAAUUCUCAUGAUAGAAAUAAAUUCAUUAAUUAUCUGUUUUAUAUCAACUAAUAUGUGGAGUAACUUUCAACAUAGUAAUAAAAAUAAAAUAUAAAUAUACACUGAUCAUUGAUCAAUAUUAAAUCUUCUUAAAAUUAUUUUAUCUUAUUUAUUUUGUAAGAGAAUAAGAAAUCUCAUUUCCUCUAAAUUUAUGUCUAUUUUACGUUAAGUAAAGCAGCAUGAAGUAACUUCUUCAUUCUACUUCCACAAAAAAUAGAGAAGAAGUCGAUGAUAUCCAAUCAUCAAUAGCAGAUAGAAAUAGUAAUGAUUUACACAUAAAAAAAAUGGUGUUCAAACAAUCAUAUCAAUAAUGACUCGUAGUAGUGGCGGCUGUUAUCGUUUAAAUGAAUAGUUUCAUGACAUGUCAUUCUUUGACUAAUUUCACAACCUAAUAUCAUACGUACAUGUUUUUCAAAUAAUCCUGUAGAGUCUGCUAACAAGCAACCCAUUCAUUCAAGAUCAACUCUUUAAUUUCUUCGAUAAAAAGGGCAGACUAUUCAACUCUUCUUCCUUAUUUAAACCCAUCCAUAUCAUCCCUUAAUUCUCACCAAAACCCAAAAUGGGACACUCUAAUAUUGCCUUAAUUGUUUGUUUCAUUACUUUUGCUAUAUUUCACUCAACACAAGCCCAAAAUUCUCCCCAAGAUUAUCUUAACGCUCACAAUGCAGCUCGUAGACAAGUUGGUGUCGGCCCUAUGACAUGGGACAAUAGGCUAGCAGCCUUUGCCCAAAAUUACGCCAAUCAAAGAAUUGGAGACUGCAGGAUGCAACACUCUGGUGGCCCUUACGGGGAAAACCUAGCAGCCGCUUUCCCCCAGCUCAACGCGGCUGGUGCCGUGAAGAUGUGGGUCAAUGAAAAGCAAUGGUACAAUUAUAAUUCAAAUUCUUGUGCACCAGGAAAAGUAUGUGGACACUAUACUCAGGUAGUCUGGCGUAACUCAGUACGUCUUGGUUGUGCUAGGGUUCGGUGCAACAAUGGGUGGUAUUUUAUAACUUGCAAUUAUGAUCCACCAGGUAAUUGGAGAGGACAACGUCCGUAUGGUGAUCUCGAAGACCAACCGGCCUUUGAUUCCAAAUUGGAACUUCCAACUGAUGUCUGAUCAUGAAUAUUUGAAUUAAGCUUCAUGUGUUAAAAGGAAAAUAAAUCCAGCAGUACUAUGCUAUGUGAUAGUAAUCUAAUGGUGCAGUAACUGGAGUUUAUAGGAAAAUAUGGAUCUAUAUUGAUAUCCAUAUGGAUCGUUUAAAUAAUUGCUUGUUGUUUUAUUUUGUUAUUCUUGUUUUACAUAUUGUUGUUCUGUGGAGUACGUUACUGUUAAUUGAACAAAUAAAAUGUGUAAAGUUCAUGAGUAAAUUGUGUUAUGAAACUAUAAUUAUAGACUCAAAAGAGUUGUAUUGAACUUGUCAAAAUAUAAGCUUUUAAAAGAUUCUGCAGGCAACCACCACGAGUUAUUUGGUCAGGAUAUAAUUUCUCCUUUCCGUCUCAUAUUAGUUUUCUCGUUUUUAUUUUAAACGCUCCUUAGAAAAUCAAUAAAUAAGUAUAUAUUUUCUCCAUUCAUCUUUACUUGUCCAAUUUUCUAUUUUGAGAUGUCCAACAAUACUUGUCCAGUUUAUAAAAUCAAUGGAUAAUUUACCUAUUUCUAACCAUUUUACCCUUUGCAUUAAAUACGAUUCAUUAUCUAAUGUAUUUUUCAAAGCAUUAAGUUUAUUAUAUUCAAAAAUUAAUAUGGUAAAAUUAUUUUUAUCAUUUACUGUUUCUUAAUCUUUGUGCCAAUAAAAAAGUAGACAAGUUUAUUUUAGGGGGUCCUUACUCGAUGGUGAUUCUCUCUCUCGGCACCGUCUAACCAACGUGUGCUGCCAUGGGGAAAAGAUCUCGAAUUCCAUUAGCGCAGGCUCAAAUGGCGCAGGAGGCAGCUAUAUAUGAAGUCUCGAGGUAAAGCUAAGAUGCAUGAGGAAGCUUCGAAUGGAGUAGCAAUCAAUGGAACAGAAUCAAAUUUAGGGGAAUUCAUGGAGGAUUCUUUGAGCCUAAAUUUCCAAGUAACUACUGCAGCUGGCACUACAAAGAUGCAGAGGAAACAAAGUACAGAGGUGGAAAAGGCACAAAAAGCUCAAACAAAGGAGAAGGAGCUUGAGGCACGAGUGCUUACGCAGAAGCAGUGGUCUACAAUUGUUGCUCCAGUACAAUCAACAUCAGGAAAGGGGAGAAAAUCAUGGGCGGAUGAGGUUGAAGAAGAGGCAAUGCAAAGUGAAACUGCACAUUUAAUUUGGGAUCAAUUUGAUAGCUCAAAAGUCUCGAAUGCUGGAUUCAAGCUCGAUUAUGUAGCUCCUGUGAAGCAAGGUGAGAAAACCAUUAUCGAUAUUGAUUUAGAGGAUAUUGAAUCUGAAAUUCAAUACUGGAAAACUACUGUUAUUGUUUGUUAUGUAUUGGGAGCUCAUCCCCCAUUUGCGGUGAUAAAUGGCUUUAUACAAAGAAUCUGGGGAAAGUAUGGGUUGAAUAAAGUAGCAAUGUUGAAGAACAGAGUAAUAAUAGUUCAUUUUGAGACGAUUGAAGGGAAAAAUAAGGUGUUACAAGGAGGGAUUUUCCAUUUUGACAACAAACCGUUCAUAGUGAAGGCAUGGGUACCAGAAAUGGAGUUCACUAGAGAAGAAUUACAGCCAGCUCCUAUAUGGAUAAAGUUUCUUGGACUAGAUUUUAAAUACUGGAGUCCUGCAGGGCUGAGUAACCUGGGAAGUUUAAUUGGCAAACCAAAAUACUGAGAAGAAACAGGGUCUGAAUUUUGCACGUAUUUUGGUGAAAGUUAACAUGGAUGCAAAACUGCCCGAUCUGAUUUGCUUUAGAAAUGAAAAAAGAAAUAUUGUUGAGCAGAAAGUAAUGUAUGAUUGAAAGCCUACACUAUGUGGUUAUUGUGGGAAACAUGGGCAUGUAGAGGAGAUCUGCAGGAAGAAAAAUCUUCAAAUAAUGAAGCAGAGGAAAGAGGUGUUAAACAAGGAGCCUCCUACAACUCUACAAGCGGUAACUGUAGGUACCUCUCAAGAAGUGCAGAAGAAGGAGGAUAAGCAGGCUUCUCCAAAACUACCAGGGAUAACAUAAGUCCCCCCACAGCUAAGUGGAUAACCCCUCAUAGAACUGUUAGUCCUCAACUGGUGCUUAGACAUAAAUCUGUGCAGGUGAGAGCACAAAUACUUUCCAAGAUUUGCAUAAAGAAGAGGGGCAACAGAGCUUAAUGCAACGGAAGAGUGUGAAAGGUGAGACCAUAUCCACUAUGGGAUAUGGUUGAAUUAAUAUGUUCGAACGUUAGAGGUUUUAACAACCCUAAUAAGCAGAAUGAUGUAAUGGUCCUCUGCAAUAAAGAAAAUAUCAAUAUUGUGGGGUUAGUGGAAACAAAAGUAAAAAGUAAUAAGAUGGAAGAAUUUGUUAUCAGAAUAUUUGGAGGAUGGGAAUUUCUUACUAAUCUUGAUGUCUAUCCAAAUGGAAGGAUCUUCUUAGCCUAGACACCAGAUUUUUAUAAGGUAAAUCUGAUAGCUAGAUCAGUCCAAAUAUUGACUUGUGAAGUAUUAUAUAUGCCCCUACAGAUGGUAUUUUGUCUCUCUCUAUAGUGUAUGCAUAUAACACCAGAGAAGAAAAGAGAUCUUGUGGUUAGAAUGGAGAUGCACCAGAGGAUUCGCCCUAUGACUUGGCUUAUUCUUGGUGACUUUAACUUUAUAUGGCAUACUGAGGAUAGAAUGAGGGGGAAUCCAGUUUCAUUACAUGAAGUCGUUUAUUUCAAAACUUUCUUGGAAACGUAUGAACUAAUAGAAAUGCCUCAUCAAGGUCAGUAAUAUACAUGGAAUGAUAGAAGUUCUAUGCGGAGGAUUUAUUCAAAAAUAGAUUGGAUGUUUGUCAUCUCUAAGUGGUUAACCUGUAUGCCUACAUGUAGAAUCGCUUAUCUAUCGAAAGGAUUAAGUGAUCAUUGUCCAACUAAAUUGUCAUUGAAAAAUCAUAAUUACAGGCCUAAGAGAACCUUUCAAUAUUGUAAUACUUGGGCUCAGCACCCAAAGUUUACUGAGAAAGUACAACACAUUUGAAGUAUUCAAUUAGAGGGGCAUCAAAUAUGGAAAGUGGUAAAGAGAUUGAAAUUUCUAAAGAGAAGUUUACAGGAGCUGAAUACUCAACACUAUAGGAAUAUAAUUGUUGAGGCUGAAAAGGAUAAGGAGGAACUCUAGAUUGCCCAGGAGAAGCUACAAGCAAACCCCUGGAAUAUAAUGCUACAACUUGAUGAAACUAUAAAAUUAGGGAAAUAUAGAAAGAACUCUUAUUUAGCUGAAAUGUUCUUGCAACAACAAAGCAAAGCAACGUGGUUGAAACUGGGAGAUGACUGUACAAAAUACUUCUUUGAAAUGAUUAAGCAUAAAAGACUUAAAGAGUCCAUCACAUAGAUAAAAGAUGAUCAAGGAGUCUGGCAACAUGAACAGGGGAAAAUCACUAAAGUAUUUGUGCAGUAUUACAUGUCAUUACUUGGAAAGAAACUAUUCAUUAGAGAGCCUGCAAAUAGAGCAAUACUCAGUAAUGGAAUAGUGUUGAAUGCAACACCACAACUGAGACUACUAGAGGAAUACACAUACAAGGAUGUGAAGCAAGCUAUGUUUCACAUUAAUAGCAAUAAAAGCCCGUGUCCGAAUGGUUUCAGUAGUGGUUUUUUCAAGUAAGCCUGGGGAAUUAUAGCUCACGAUGUUAGAGCUGCAAUUCUCGAAUUCUUUAGGAAUGGAAGAUUGUUAAAGAAGCUCAGCACAACAAAUAUAGCCCUGAUUCCCAAGGUUUCUUCCCUGGAGUAUGCCAACCAAUACAGGUCAAUCGCAUGUUGCAAUGUCUUAUAUAAAUAACAAAAAUUAUUUGUUGGAGAUUGAAAGAAGUAUUAAGUUGCAUAGUUGCAGAUAACCAGUCUGCAUUUGUCCAAGGGAGAUCCAUGGUUCACAAUAUCUUAAUAUGUUAUGUCUUGCUGAGACAUUACACAAGGAAAACUACUCCUAGAUGCUUAAUGAAGACAGAUCUAAGGAAGACAUAUGAUAUGGUGAGUUGGGAUUUUAUUGUUGAGGCAUUACAUGGUUUUUGCUUCCCUGAUAGGUUUGUGAAUUUAGUCAUGACUUGCAUUUCAACCCCAAUGUUUACUGUAAAAAUCAAUAGAAAAGGUCAAAGAUUUUUUUCCGGGAGAAGAGGCUUAAGACAAGGGGAUCCCAUGUCCCCGCUUUUAUUUGUGAUAGUUAUGGAAUACCUAUCUAGGACAUUAAAAUAUAUGGGAGAUCUGCCAGAUUUUGAGUAUCAUCUAAUGUGUCAAUCAUUCAAGCUAACACAUUUGAUAUUUGCAGAUGAUCUAAUGAUCUUCUGCAAAUGGAUUGUCCAGUCUGUAACUAGAGUUAUGGAGACUCUACAACACUUUAGCAAAGUCACAGGGCUAGGGGCGAAUAUGGAGAAAUCGAGCAUCUUCAUGGCUGAAAUAGAUUAGUAAGUACAGAAUCAGAUAUUGCAGUUAACUGGAUUUGUGCUAGGCUCUUUUACGAUCAGAUAUCUUGGUCUAACCUUUUCAUCCAAGAAAUGGAGUAAGAUGGAUUGCAACCAGUUGAUUGAAAAAAUCACUAGCAAAAUCACAAAGGGCUAUGCUAAGUAGUUAUCAUAUGCAGGAAGACUACAGGUUAUCAUUUCUGUUUUAUUCUCUAUCCAUAGCUUUUGGGGAUCAGUUUUCAUACUACCCCAAGGAGUUCUCAAGAAGGUGUCCAAAAGUGCAGGGCUUAUUUGUGGGGUAGUACCAAGGAGAAGAGGAAAACUACCUUAGUUGCAUGGGAAAAGGUAUGUGUUCCAAAGAAAUGGGGAGUACUGAAUAUAAAAGAUUGUCAACUAUGGAAUAAAGCUUCUGUAGGCAAAUUAUUGUGGCAAUUGACAACCAAAAAAGAUCUACUUUGGGUCGGGUGGAUCUAUGGUGUGUACAUGAAGAAAAAUCAAAAUUUUUGGGCGCACACACCUCAGCAGGAUAGUAGCUGGUACUGCAGGAAAACUAAUGCUCUAAAAUAUAUCAUGCAGGGUCGGUAUACAAUGCAAAAAGAGUACAAACUUACACGAAAUGGGAAAUAUUCUAUUUCAGCAAGUUAUACUGCCAUGUUAGGUGAUCAACGAAGGCUAAGAACCCUGGAAUUGAUUUGGAGUAGUAUUCUACUACCUCAACACAGGUUUAUAACCUGGUUAGUGGUACAACAGAGAUUGCUUACAAAAGUCAGACUUCAGAGACUGCAUAUUCAGGUAGAGACAAUCAAUUGCUGCCUUUGUGAAACUCAGGAACUUGAGACUCAAGCAUAUUUAUUCAGUGAAUAUCAGUGGUCUAAUAACAUAAGAAGAGAACUAGCUCAGUGGGCAGGUGUGCAGUGGCCACGAGGUGACACAAAACAAGUGUUGGAAGGGAUCAAGAGGAUGAGAUGGAAGAAAAUUUAGAAAGAGGUCAUUGCAGGUUUGUGGAGUAGCAUGAUAUAUCACAUUUGGCAAGCCAGGAAUAAAAAGGUGCAUUUAGGGAAAACUAUGAACUCUGAGAUUGUAACAGCACAAAUCAAGAGAGAGUUUAGUUUAAGAAUAGCAGCCAUAUCUGGUAGAAAAAAGGCCACUAGAGUUAGCUUUUGGCUUUAGAGAUUUCAUUGUAAUUAGUCUGUCGGAGGCUUAAACUACAUGAAAUCUUGAUUCAAGGUUGUGUGGACACCUAAUCUUGUCCCUCCCAACAUUGAUUUUAUCCAUUUUUAGCUCACCUUGCCAUGUGUCCUUAUCCAUGUGAUCAUAUCUCACAAAAAUACAAAAUAAUAACAAAUGCCUAACCAACCUAAUCCUCAAGAUUCUCUUAAUAACAAACUAACAACCCUCCCUGUUAAAAGUUGACAACACCCCACCCACCCUACCCCAUACCCCCUCACCACCUAUCUUUCUUGGACACAAAGAAAAAAGAGAUAAGCAUACACUAAGAAAAUAGGCCCCACGGAUCACACACAUAGAGAAGGGAAUCUUCUAAGUAUUUUCUUUUCCAUAACAAUUCAACAAAGACAAAAAAGAGACGGGCCCACGUAGAUAAGUCACCAACCCAUGGCCAUUUUCCAUUUCUUUUUAGGAGAUAUACAUACAGGUACACACCAUCACUAGAGGGCCCUAUAGAAGUUUCCAAAGAUUCCAAUUACACAAAAUAUAGACACAUAGUAACAUUCAAGGGAGGGGGGGGGGGCACAUACUCAUCAUUUUCUUUAUCACAAAAAAGGGAGCACGACAAGAGGGAGAGGAGACCAUUUUUAUCUCUUCUUCUUUCUUUCUUCUUCUUCACACCAAACACACUAACACCACUUCUUUGAUCGUCUCACACCACAACACACACUCACUUCCAUUCAAUUCUCAUGGAUGAGUACACACUAAUCUCUCUCUAAAUUCUCAACCAUAAAUCAUGCCCACCCGCACGCAGUAAAAAAUUGAGAAUGAAGAUAGUUUGAGAGAGAGAGAGAUCCAAUCAUUUUUUUGAGAGAAUUCCGGCGAAAUUUUGCCAAAAUUGAUCUUUUUUAGUUCGUGUUCGAUCGUAUUCCCCCACAAAUCCUGAAAUCUCACUGUUACCUUUGAUUUCAAGGCAUAACCAGCUGGAAAAGCUAAAGAUUUUUCCGAAAAUGUGAACUGCCAACAGAUCUUUUGCUGGAAUCGUUUAUAUUUUUGAUCGAUUUUCGGGAUAUCCUCACAUACGGGCCGGUCUGUUUCUGUUGCUAUUUUGCUGUGGUUUUAUCGGUCUUCACUACUGAUUUAAAUAUUAGAAUCUCAUUCGUCUCGACUUAUUAAUCGCGAUCAGUUUUUGAGUCUUCAACUUUCAAUACCGAAUUUUGGGUUAUCACACUUUGGACGGUUUCUUGACUGAUUUGGAGAGUUGAGAUUUUGUAUAAAUUCUUUGAGGUUCUUGAAUAAGCUCUUAUUUCUAUCAUUAAAAUCAAUCGAAAGCUCUCGAGGUCCAUCUCUUUACACCCUUUCUUUCUUCUUUAUUUUAUUUAGUUGAAAUAGUUAUAAUUAUGUGUUGAGUGAUUGUAAUUGUUUGAUGUUGUUGAUGUUAUGAUCAUGUGCAUGAUUAUGUGACUCCGAUUGUAGAAGGAAUGAACUUGAUUAGUUUUAACGGUGUAAUUGAUAGAACAGGAUUUGGGGUGGAAUCGUAGAGUUGAAAAAUAGAACUGAGACUAAUUUGAGUUUAUUAUUGUUUGAUUUAAUCCAAAAUAAGCAUAAAUAUGGUAUGAACGUGAAAGAAUUAUGAAAUGUGGAAAUGGAUAGGCAACAUAGGUUUGGGUAGGCAUCAAUUUAGGAAUAAGUGUUUUUUGUUAUUUGAUUGAAUGCGUGGAAUGUUGAACAGGUCGAAUGCUUUUCUAGUUUAUAUCAUGAAAUUAAAAUUGUAUUCAUUUGCUGGGGAAUGCCCUGAGAAAAUUGUAUUUAUUCACCGGGGAAUGCCCCGAAGUAUCAUGUACUUGAAGACGGUGCACGGUCAAGGCCCGGAACGUCGGGUGGAGUUUAAUUCAUGAGUAGUUUAGGGAUAGUUUAGAAUAUAAUAGGUUUACAUUUUCACAUUUUUCAUUAUUCGGGACAGUAUAAUUGGACUGGACACUAUAUUUUUUAUUCGUUUUGUUUUGUUGGUUUGAUUGAUUGUUUUAUGUGUUUUGUGUGGUUUAUACAUUUGUAAUGUCAAAAUUAGCCGAUAUUCUCUACCAAGAUACCAUGGUCGAAUCACGGGAUUGAGGGGUGCCUAACCCCUUCCCCUCAGUCAACAGAAUUCCUUAGCCGGAAUCUAUGUUCGCGGAUCAGUUUUAAAGUCAAAACCGUUUUGAAAAAGAAUUUUCAAAGGUGACUUGGCACACCCAAUUUAUGCCAAGUGGCGGCUCUGAAUUUAAUUAAAAAGAAUCCCUUUUGAAACAAAUAUUCAUUUUGUCACUUCAAUAAUAGAAACCCUUUCAAACUUAAAAUAUAAUCUUUUUGGUGGUAAAAAAAAGGGUGUGACAGCUCUGACGACUCCACUGGGGAUCUUUUUCAGAAUUCGAGCUCGUUUUUUGAAGUUGUAUCGGCUUAUUUGACAUUAUGGGUGUAUAAACAUUUGGUUUGUGUUAUUGUUAUCAUCGUUGAGUGUUUACUUGCUACGUGUUUAAAUUUUUCAUCCUAUGUGUUACCGCUUUAUAUCUAGCAUCACUUGAAUAACCCGAGUCAAUCCUUUCAGCAACAAGUCCCGGAGUGCACGUCAUGCGCACGAACUCUAGUUGAGUCACCCUUAUUUUAGGAGGGGGAGCUGUCGGAUGUAUGGAGUAGGUGGAACGCAAAGCAGCCACUAUCGACCAUAUGCUCCCCCGAACGACCUUGUUAGUUAACCCAACGUAGGUCAGUCUUUAGGUCAUGCUUAUGUGCAUCAUAUUGAGACCUAGCGGGGCCUACUUGGUCCUUUGUAGGAGACUCUCCUCUAAAGCAUCUAUACGUGCUAAUUGUUGUAUUUUUUAGGGUAACAGGGUCAUUUGACGGACUGAUUUGAGGAAAGCAUGUACUAAAUUAAAGAAAGGUGUGUAGGCAUGAAAAAAUAAAAAAAAAGAGAAAAAAGAGAAAAGGUGAAUCAAAAAAGAGUUUCGUAGUUUUUAGGUUCUUUAUGGACAUUGUUUUCCACGAUUCAAAAGUUCAAAAAAAAAGAUUUUUUUUUACUUUUUGCACUCAUUUUUCAAAAAUAAAAAAUAAAAAAUAAAAAAAUAUCAGAAAGAUUUUCCUUUUGUUUCCUUUAGCAAACAUUCACAAUUUGAAAAUUUCAAAAAAGAUCUUUUUGGGAGCUUUUUUAUAAAAGAAAAAUUUAAAAAAAAGAGUGGUAGAAGUUUUGUACAUUUCUUAUAACGAAAAUACCAAAAAGAUUUUCUUUCAUAGCAGUCGGUGUCAUUUUUUAUGUGAAGUGUCAAAUUGAAAAUUCAAAAAACUAUUUUUGUCAUGUUGUUCAUCGUGUGUCUUUGGUCGUGUCUCAAGUCAGCGUGCAAUCUGUUAUUUAAUCGUUAAUUGUCCAAUCUGGACGAACUACGCACCCCUGCUUCUCCUCUCUUGGGAGUGAGAUACGUAGGCAGCCUAUUGUGGGUUCGGUGAUCUUAUUUCAAAAAUUCAAAAAAGAUUUUCUACACUCUUCACUUAGAGUAGGUGUUUCAUGUACAUCUUUAAACGAAAACAACAAAAAAAAAUAUUUUCCUUUGAUAGGUUCAAGUUUAAUUUUCGUAUGAAAUUCAAAAUCAAAAAUUCAAAAAUAUUUUCUUCGGUAAUUAUAGAUUUCAUUUUGUACAGGAAUUUGAAAAAUUCAAAAAGAUUUUCUUUACUCUUCACUUAGAGUUGGUGUUUCAUAUGCAUCUCUAAAAGAAAACUACAAAAAGCUUUUUCUUUAAUAGUUUCAAGUUUCAUUUUCCUAUAAAUUCAAAAUCGAAAAUCCCAAAAGAUUUUCUUUGGUAAUCAUAUGUUCUAUUUUUGAAUAAGGAGUUUAAACCUGAAAAAUACAAAAAGAUUUUUGUCAAUUCUUUUGACAAAUUGUGAUUUUCUAUUUUUUCCUUUUUCUCUUAAAGUUUCAAGAAAAAAAAGAAAGAAAGAAAAAAGAGUUUAAUUGGCCAUUUUGGCAGAACUUCACGAAUUACGCACACCUGAUUCUCCUCUCUCGGGAGUGAGAUACGUAGGCGCCCUUCUUGGGUUCAGUGAUCUUUUUAAAAAAAAAUAGAAGGAAAAAGAGUUUUGAAAAAGUGUUGAACUCUAACACAUUUGUUGUGUUUUUGUUGAGUCAGUUUAAGGUGGUUGAUUUGUGGUAUUCUGGCUGGUCCUCCACAUCACACCAAAUUCAAAGGGUUAGUUCUGUCCAACAAAGAUAUAGAGAGUGACAUCAUGGAUCAAAUAAAGAGUCAUGAAAAUGAGAGUUUAAAGCGAGAAAUUAGGAGACUAAGGCAACAAAUAACAGAAAUGCAUUGAGCUUGGACUCGUGGGUUGCCUCUUCCUCCAUUUCCCUUUAUUGAUCCUACAAAUACCUCGAGUUUUCCUCCAAAAUCUCAAAGUCAGUUUUCUACUAUUGUUGAUGCACCGCAACAUGACUCAAAAUUCAUUUCAAGCCAAAAGCAUCUCAAUACUUCCACCACUUUUCCUGUAGCUCCUCAGCAUAAGUCUGCUACAUUCACAACACCACAUGUCAUGUGUGAUCUUGUUGCUCGAUCCACUACUGGGACUUCCACACUGGCUCACCCAAUAAUUGUGCGUCCCCAUGUUGCUAGUGAACCUAUAUUCAAUACUUUUGGUGAUCAUUGUUAUACUCCUGAGCCUUCUUUUAAGUUAACUGGACCACCAAAAUUUCUUAACAAGAUGUUCAGUGUGCCAGAAGAGUUGGAGAAAAUGGUUGGAAAAAUAAAGAGUGCAGAAAAUGCUAUGAAAAAUUCUUUAGGACCUGUGGGUAAAGAAGAUGUUUCAUACGAAGACUAGGGAAUGCCUUCAAGUGCUAACCUUCCUCCAAUCUUUCAGAUGUCGAAAUUUGAGGAGCAAAAUGGGCAUGAGGAAUCCGUGAAACAUUUGGGACAAUAUUGCAAUCAAUUAAGGGAACCCAGAGGGAAGAAGAAUGAGAAAGAUGACAUUGCUAUUGUAGUUGGAGAACGGGCACAUCCAAGAAGACGACAUCGUCAUUUCCGUCAGUAUCAAGCCCAAGUUCAUACUUAAGCUCUCCAUAAUCACUCUCAAAAUCUAUUAUACUAUAUUUCCUCACAUCCAUAUCUAGUAUAUUGCGCACAACUAUAUGUUCAACUCGCUUCUUACCCACAAUAGCGUGCACUAACUCUUCAAAGUCAUCCUUCAAUUCCACAAACAUACCAAAGCCCUUCUAGGACCGAUGUUCGAUCAAGUUAAACAAUGAAAUAAGGCAGAAAUUAAGGGAUAGUUUCACACCAAUUGGAGAGUUGUAUGCUAGUUUAUUUCAGAGAUUGGCAUAACGAGGCAUGAUCACUCCUAUCCUUGGGUAUACUCCUGACCUGCGUUCAAGAAGUUUUGAUCCUAAUGUAUGAUGUGCAUAUAAUUUUGAUGUUCAGGAUCAUAGUAUUGAAGAUUGUCGUGCUUUGAAAAGACAAAAUUGAAAAGAUGAUUCAAGACAAAUUGAUUAUGGUGUAGAACUUUGAUAGUGAGGAAAACUCUAGUCAUGUUGAGAUGCAAACCAGUGGCUAAGAUGUCAGGAUGAGCAAUUGAGAAGUCACCUCUCUCCCUACUAGAAAGAGGCCUGGUAGUUUGUUUUGUUUUCUUUUCUGUUUUUUGAAUUAUUGCAAGGUUGUAGUUCGAGAUCUAUCUUGUUUUGUCCCUAUGUCAUUUAUGCUCAAACAUUUCUAUCUUUUAUUUCGACUAAAUGAAGUGUCCUUUUACCUUUGUGUUUUAAAUGUGUUUGUUUUCUUUACUCAUCACAUUUUAUGUUGAUUCUAUUGUUAUGACAUGCCUGUGGAAUUUUCAGUCAGAUCUUAAAAUCCAGUUUAAGCAUGAACAUUGAAUCAGAGGGUUAAAUUUAUAAAAAGAGAGAACUGAGAAAAUAGGUAGAGUGUUGAGACAUUUAGUGACAAGUUCAAGACAUUUUUGAAAAUUAAGGCCAUUUAUUUUGAGAAUCACAUGAAUAACUUGGUCAUCAAUUGUAAGGCGUUCCUCAAUUAGGUCAAACAGUGGAUGUGUGAUCCUAUAUCAAAAGGGACAGAAAGAAAAUCAGCUUCACAAAAUCAUGAGUCACUCAAUGUAAGGAAUGUACAACAAUGGUGGAGUUUGUAUGCUAGAAAAGUGCAGAAGAGGCAGAAAUGCACAAACUCAGUCAAAGUUAAUGUUGUAAAAGAUGUCGCACAUGAUCUUUAUCUCCAACUUUCAAAUUGCAUGUUAUGUACUUGUAUUUUCAAAGAUUGAUAUGAGGAAGGCAUUUCAUUCUGCUAUCCAUUGUUUACCCCAUUUGAUUCUUAGUUUUAUUUUCUUUCAUCCACCUCUUUUGGAAUCAAGAUAGAGUUAGCAAAAUUGAAAAGAAAAGUGUCAAAAAAAAUAUGUGUCCAAAAGAAUGAAAAGAGAAGAGUAUCAAAAAUAGGGUCAGAAAAAAAAUCCCAAAGAAAAAAAAAAGAAGAAACAAAAAUUAGAAUCAAUCAAAAGAACAAGCUGCUAGAACUACGCAUGACCUGAUUCUCCUCUUUCGGGGAUGAGAUACGUAGGCUGCCCUACUAAGGGCUCGGUCCAACCAAAUAAACAAUUUAGAAUUGCCCAGUCAAAAGAAACUGGGGCAUGAUUUAAUCCUUAUUGUUUGAGUCGGUUCCAAAAGUUGUAAGUCCUACCCUACUUCAAGUGUCAUUUAGGACUCAUGCUAUCUUUUUCUUCUAACCUUAUUCAAAAGCCAAGAUACAACCAAAAAAGACCUUCAGAUCAAUCUUUGAGAAUGUUAAGACUAAGUAUGUAAUGAAUGUGAUGAGGCAUUUUGGGAACUACUUGUCUACCUCAGCAAUAAGAAUUAGGAGAGAAAUAAAAAUGAGAGAGUCUUAUCGGUGAAAAACCUCACGGGCACCGUAAGAUGAUGGUAAGCUGAGAGAGAUAACAAUGAGAGAGUCUUAUCGGUGAAAACCAUCACGGGCACUGUAAGACGACGGUGAGUUGAGACAAAUGAAAAUAAGAGAGUUUCAUAGGUGAAAAACCUUCAUGGACACCAUAGGGCAAUAGUGAGCUGGAAAAAUAAAAUGAGAGAGGCUUGUUGGCAAAAACCCUUCAAGGCGUCACUAGCCGAAUGAGGUCUUAAAUGCAAUUGACCUAAAGAAGUUACUCAAUUUCGAGGUCGUUAACUCAACAACAAUUAGUAGAAAGUUUUGAAUGGAAAGAUCAGGCAGUUUAAUUCGAUAUGCAUGGUAUAAUCAUUAGAGUUGACUGUCAUUUCUAGAUAAAUUUUUCAUUUCUUUGUUUCAAACGGGGACAUUCAUUAUCAUUUCUUUCUUCUCUUUAUUUUUAUUUUGUUUUCUUGAGUCAAUGGUCCAAAUAAAAGUCAUUGCCAUUUUUCUCUUGUCUUUGAGUCAAGUCCAUAUCAAAACAAGUGAGAAAAGAUUUCAAAAUUGGCUACCAGCUUCUUCAAUUGUACAAAGCAAGACAAAGUUAACAUACAAAAGAGACAUGAUUGUGAGCUGAAUAAGGCAUGCAGAAAGUUUUGUCAAUAGAAAGGCCGGGGAACUCAUGAAAAUAUCAAGGUUUAAAGGGUUUAUCUGAGAAGCAUGACAAAGUAGAGAUACUGUGUUGAUUUCGGAGUCACUCUUAAUAAUAUAAGUUUGGAUAAAUGACAGGACAAAUCAGGGGCAAGUGCCAGCAAUCUGAAAUAAAAUGAAGGGAAUGAACACUGGAGCAGGUGUCGGGACAGCCAAGUGCCACUAGCCACCACUAAGUUUUUAACUGAAAAAUUUUCUUUGUUGAAACAGGGGCAAAUUCACUUCACUUAAUUCAGCUACCAUUGGAUAUGCACAUCCGUGAGACUUUACUUUUUGCUCAGAACCCUCCUGAAAAAUGGGACUUUACUUUCUAUUCAGGACCCUCCUGAAAAAUGGAAAUUUACUUUCUGUUCAGGAACCUCCUAAAAAAUGGGAUUUUAUUUUUCUGUUCAGGACCCUCCUGAAAAAUGAGAAUUUACUUUCUGUUUAGGACCCUCCUGGAAAAUGGAAAUUUACUUUCUGUUCAGGAACCUCCUAAAAAAUGGGAUUUUAUUUUUCUGUUCAGGACCCUCCUGAAAAAUAAAAUUUUAUUUUCUGUUCAAGACCCUCCUGGAAAAUGGGAAUUUACUUUAAGUUCAGGACCCUCCUGAAAAAUGAGAAUUUACUUUAUGUUCAGGACCUUCCUGAAAAAAGAGAAUUUACUUUUUGUUCAGGACCCUCCUGAAAAAUGGGAUUUUGCUUUCUGUUUAGGACACUCCUGAAAAAUGAGAUUUUAUUUUUCUGUUCAGACCCUCCUGAAAAAUAAAAUUUUACCUUCUGUUCAGGACCCUCCUGAAAAAUGGGAUUUUAUUUUUCUGUUCAGGACCCUCCUGAAAAAAGAAAUUUUACUUUUUGUUCAAGACCUUCCUGGAAAAGAGGAAUUUACUUUAAGUUCAGGACCCUCCUGGAAAAUGAGAAUUUACUUUAUGUUCAGGACCCUCCUGAAAAAUGAGAAUUUACUUUCUACUCAGAACCCUCCUGAAAAAUGGGAAUUUACUUUCUGCUCAGGACCCUCCUAGAAAAUGGAAAUUUAUUUUAUGUUCAAGACCCUCCUGAAAAAUGAGAAUUUAAUUUAUGUUCAGGACCCUCCUGGAAAAUGGAAAUUUACUUUAAGUUCAGGACCCUCCUAGAAAAUGGGAAUUUAAUUUAAGUUCAGGGCCCUCCUGGAAAAUGGAAAUUUACUUUAUGUUCAGGACCCUCCUGAAAAAUGAGAAUUUACUUUCUUCUUAGGACCCUCCUAGAAAAUGGGAAUUUGUUUUCUGUUCAGGAACCUCCUGAAAAAUGGUAAUUUAAUUUAUGUUCAGGACACUCCUUGAAAAUGGGAAUUUACUUUAUGUUCAGGACCCUCCUGGAAAAUGGGAAUUUACUUUAUGUUCAGGACCCUCCUGGAAAAUGGGACAUUACUUUCAACAAAAAAAGAAUGAAUGAAAUAGUUCUUUAUCAUAAUCUUUGUUUGGGAUAAUUUCGUUUUAGCUUUGAUUUUGGUGUUAGGAGCCCGUCUGAAGAACAGGGUAAUAAAAUUACAAGUCAGGAGCCCGUCUAAAGAACAAGGUGAUGAAAUUGAAAGUCAAGCAACAAGGUGAAGGGAUUGAAAGUCAAGUAACAAGUUGAAGAAAUUGAAAGUCAAACAGCAAGUUGAAGAAAUUGCAAGUUAGGAGCCCGCGUGAAGAAUAGGGUGAUGAAACUCAAAUCAAGAGUCCAAAAGAAGCUGCAUAGAUAGGAUUUGUGUAAUUUUAUUUAUUUUUAACUUAUAAUUUUCAUUUCUGAUGUAAUAAGAGAGCUGCAGACCGGAACCUCGAUGGGACCUCACUCGACUCUCUAACUCGGUAUAGUCCAUCUUCCUUCUAAUCCUUUGGUAUACCCGUCACUUGAUUCCUUCAUAACUUGGGUAGUUAGGAUGUCCUGGUGUAGACUCGGUUUCCCUCCUCCCUUUUGUUUCAUUCUCUUUGAAUAAUGGUCGGGACAAAAUUUUGUCUCAUUGUCUACUUCUUUGUCUAAAAACACUUCGUGUUUACAUUCAAAGGGGGCAUGCUGUAGACACCUAAUUUUGUCCCUCCCAACGUUGAUUUUAUCCAUUCUUAGCUCACCUUGCCAUGUGUACUUAUCCAUGUGAUCAUACCUCACAAAAAUACAAAAAAAUAAUAAAUGCCUAACCAACCUAAUCCUCAAGAUUCUCUUAAUAACAAACUAACAACCCUCCCUAUUAAAAGUUGACAACACCCCACCUACCCUACUCGAUACCCCCUUACCACCUACAUUUCUUAGACACAAAGCAAAAAGGGAUAAGCAUAUACUAACAAAAUGGACCCCACGGAUCACACACAUAGAGAAGCGAAUCUUUCAAGUAUUUUCUUUUCCAUAACAAUUCAACAAAGACAAAAAGGAGGUGGGCCCAUGUAGAUAAGUCACCAACCUAUGGCCAUUUUCUAUUUCUUUUUAGGAGAUAUACAUACAGGUACACAUCAUCACUAGAGGUCCCUACAGAAGUUUCCAAAGAUUCCAAUUACACAAUAUAUAUAUAUACACACACAAUAACAUUCGCGGAGCGGGGGCACAUACUCAUCAUCUUCUUUAUCACAAAAAAAGGGAGCACGACAAGAGGGAGAGGUGGCCAUUUUUUUCUCUUUUUCUUUCUUUCUUCUUUUUCACACCAAACACACUAACACCACUCCUUCGACCGUCUCACACCGCAACACACACUCACUUUCAUUCAAUUCUCAGGGAUGAGCACACACUAAUCUCUCUCAAAAUUCUCAACCACAAAUCAUACCCACCCGCACGCAGUGCAAACUUGAGAAUAAAGACAGUUUGAGAAAGAGAGAUCCGAUCAUUUUUUUGAGAGAAUUCCGACGAAAUUUUGCCGGAAUUGAUUUUUUUUAAUUUGUGUUCAAUCGGAUUCCCCCCCUCCCAAAUCCCAAAAUCUCACUGUUACCUUUGAUUUCAAGGCAUAACCAGCCCGAAAAGCUAAGGGUUUGCCAAAAAAAUGAAAUGGCAGCAGAUCUUUUGGUGGAAUCAUUUCUAUUUUGGGUUGAUUUUUUGGAUAUCCUCACAUAUGGGCCGGUCUGUUUCUGUUGCUAUUUUGUUGUGAUUUCAUCGAUCUUUGCUACUGAUUUAAAGAUUAUAAUCUCAUUCGUCUCGAAUUUUUAAACGUGAUCAGUUUUCGAGUUUUCAAUUUUCAAUACCGAAUUUUGGGUUAUCGCAUUUUGGACUGUUUCUCGACUGAUUUGGAGAGUUGAGAUUUCGUAGGAAUUCUUCGAGGUUCUUGGAUGAGCUCUUAUUUCUAUCAUUAAAAUCAAUCAAAAGCUCUCGAGGUCCAUCUCUUUACUCCCUUUCUUUUUUCUUUAUUUUAUUUUGUUGAAAUGAUUAUAAGUAUGUGUUGGGUAAUUGUAAUUGUUUGAUAUUGUAAAUGUUAUGAUCAUGUGCGUAAUGAUGUGACUCCGGUUGUAGGAGAAACGAACUUGAUUAGUUUUAACGGUGUAAUUGAUAGAAAAGGAUUUGGGGUGGAAUCGUAGAGUUAAAAAAUAGAACUGAGACUAAUUUGAGUUUAUUAUUGUUUAAUUUAAUCCGAAGUAAGCAUAAAUAUGGUGUGAACGUGAAAGAAUUACGAAAUGUGGAAAUGGAUAGGCAACAUAGGUUUGGGUAGGCAUCAAUUUAGGAAUAAAUAUUUUUCGUUGUUUGACUGAAUGUGUGGAAUGUUGAACGGGUCGAAUGCUUUUCUAGUUUAUCUCAUGAAAUUAAAAUUGUAUUCAUUUGCCGGAGAAUACCCCGAAGAAGUUGUAUUUAUUCACCGAGAAAUGCCCCAAAGUAUCAUGUACUUGAAGACGGCGCACGAUCAAGGCUCGGAACGUCGGGUGGAGUUUAAUUCAUGAGUAGUUUAGGGAUAGUUUAGAAUAUAAUAGGUUUACAUUUUUUUAUUCGGGACAGUAUAAUUGGACUGGACGCUAUAUUUUUUAUUCGUUUUGUUUUGUUGGUUUGAUUGAUUGUUUUAUGUGCUUUGUGUGGUUUAUACAUUUGUAAUGUCAAAAUUAGUCGAUAUUCUCUAACAAGCGACCGUGGUCGAACCACGAGAUUGAGGGGUGCCUAACCCCUUUACCUCGGUCAAUGGAAUUCCUUAGCUGGAAUCUCUGUUCGCAGAUCAAUUUAGUGUCAAAACCAUUUUGAAAAAAGAUUUUCAAAGGUGACUUGGCACACCCGAUUUAUGCCAAGUGGCGAAUCUGAAUUUAAUUGAAAAGAAUCCUUUUUGAAACAAAUAUUCAUUUUGUCACUUCAAUAAUAAAAACCCUUUCAAACUUAAAAUAUAAUCUUUUUGGUGGUAAAAAUGGAGCGUGAUAGGAUGAUGAUGAGUUUAGAUGCUCUUUAGAUGUAAUUAUUCUUAGUGGGUUAAUGGUAAUAUUUACAUUUGUUACAAAAAAAAAAAAAAAAAGGAAGAUAGACGAAGGGACUCGUAAUAUUUACAAUUCAUCAUUGUCUCUCUUAAAUAAAUAUAUACUUUAAGAACAAUCUAAGCAAAUUUUAAUGGUAUUUGGAUACUACUCCCUCUAGAUAAACGGAGGAAGUCUAUAUAUCUUUAAAUUUAUAAGUUCUAUACGAUAUGUAAUCAAUAUUGAUUAUUUUCAAGAACGCUCAGUAUAAGGGGCAAAAUGGAAUUAAAUAAAUUAAUUUCAUCUCAAUUGAUAAAUGACAAGUAGUGCUUUGGGACAGAUAUUCUUAAUAACCUUUACAAUUAAUAUAGACGGAGAAAAUACUAUAUCUAAGUUUAUGUAACACCCCUUAUUUUGGGCAAGAACGAAAACUGUCAUUUCUAUAUGUAGAUGAUCCAAAAACCAUAAAUCCUAUGCAAAUUUUCUAUGUUAAUCAAUUAUGUAGUGUGAGAAAUUUAAUGAUCUUUCCGUCAAUUUAAGAUUCGCCCAAAUCCGUUACCCGGGAAAGAUGUUAUGGUUAAUUUAAGCCCUAGUUGUAAAACACCGUUAUUUUAGUGCUUGGCGCGUCGCGGAGGGGAUCUAUUUAACAAUUGUCAAAUUCCAGUAGCCUAGCGCGAUUGUGGUGCGUCGUGCCGAAGUUUCAGGUCCCAACCAGUGGGACAACGCGAUGAUUCCGUGUCGCGGUGACCCCAAGAAUCCCAUUCGUCAAUUUCCAGUGAGCCACCGCGAUUGUGGCGCGUCGCGGUGGCCCAUAAAAUCGGGCUCUCUGUUAUAUUUUAUUCCUUCUCAUUAAGGGUAUAUUGGGUAUUUUUCACCCCCUUAUCAGCUUAAACACGAGAUUUAAUCUCAAAGACACCAGAAUACAUUCACAAUCUUCCAAAUUACUCAAGAACACUCUCUAGGAUUUCAAACUAAAAACCCAAUUAUCUCAAGAUUUAACCGUGGGUUUUUCUUAAUUCUUCAAGAUUCGGAAUCCCCAUUGCUAGGGCUUCAAGAAGCACCCAUCAAUCGUACGUAUAGCAUCCCAAAAGCUAGAGUUCAUUCAAAAGCUUCUAAUUUAAGGUACGUGGGGUUUAUCCUAAAAAUACAUAGGCUUGUUGAAAACACUCAAUUAUGAUUUAAAGAUUAUAAAUCAUGAAUUUGUUAAAGGGAUUUGAAAUCCAUGAUUUUUAUUAUGCUUUAUGCAUGUUAUCGAUAUUAUUUUUUUGGCCUUUAGGCCUCAUCCCCUUAAGUUGAUUUACAAGUAUGUGUAUGCGUAUGAAAUUGAAAUUUAAGAUUUGUUUGAGAGCACAGAUUAUGAAGUCCCCCUCUUGUGAUAAAUUCAAGUUUAUGAUCUUAUUGUAAAUAAUUUGAAAUGCAUGAUUUAUGGGUUGAAAUUAGUUUUCUCAAUACCUUAGUGUUUGAGCAUGAUUUAAAGAUAAUGAGAGGGAGCUUCUUGACAUAAUCACAUCCUUGUUUUAAGUGAGAAAGAGUUGCAUGUAAUUGAGAAAUUUGACAUGACCACCUUGUAUUAUUGAAAUGCUUGACAAAGAGAGUUCCUUGCAUGUGUUUACAUGAGGUUUGAGAAAGAGUUUCUUUGAAUUGAUUUAUUGAUAUGGUGGUCCCAAACUUAUGUUUUGAAAACAGAGAUUAUAAUAUGUUAUUAAUGGCUCAGAUAUGUGACUUGCAAGUCAAUGGUAUGACGAUACCAUAAGUAUGUAUGCAAUAACAAAGUAUGUUUUCAGAGUUUGAUUUCAAAGAAUGCAUGUUUUAAAGAGUUAAAACUGGGCUUAAAGAGGGUUAGGUGAUUACUCGAAGAAGGUUUGAGUUCAAGUAACUCUUAGCCUAAAACCGUGAUUUGCUGAUCCGGGUAUAUUAUUUUUACGCUGGCGACGGCCGUGUGGCGUAGCAGAGUCAGAAACUCCAUCCCUUGAGGCACACUUGGGUUGGAGGCUUCCCCGCCGAGUCAAUGUCGGAUUCCAUAUAGCCCGUGGAAUUUCAGAGUUGUAGGGUAUACCACCUAGCGCAGAAGUAAAACAAAGAAUGUCUUAGAGUUCAGAUGAUUUUUCAGAGUUUUUCGAAAAUGCCCUUGUGAUUUCUUACCAUAUGAUAUGUUUAUGAACUGAUUUAAAUUGCUCUCAUCUAUGUUGAAUAUAAAUUAUUAUUUUGGGUUUGCUCUGCGUACCAGUACAUUUGUAUUGACCCCCCUACCUCUCAGGGUCUAAAGCUCAGUUCAAAGGUCCUGCUAAACUGUAGAAUUUUCAGACAACAGUGAACUGUGCAGUUGGUGAGCCUUCUUAAUUCCAGAAGGCCUGUGUCUUUCAGAUUAUGUUAUUUAUUUUGGUUUAGGUCCACUGGGGACCUUGUCCUAGUUUUCAGAACAGUUUUGAGAUGUAGUAGAGAUUUCGCAGACUGAGUCAGAUCUUAUUGAGAUGUUUUGAUCAUUCUCGAGUUAAUGACCAUGUUUCCGUAUCAGAUUAUAUUUCUGCAUUCUGUUUUAUGAUAUGAAUGUUGUGCAUGAUUACUAGAUCAGAUAGACUAGGACGUCCGGGCCUUCAUGGUUCGCGAUGUCCGUCACGGCCAGGCCCUAAUUCGGGUUGUGACAGUUUAUUUACUUAUGGCUGUUUUUUUUUACUUUGUUUUAUAAAAUUAGUUAGCAUUUUGUAAUGAGAAAUACGCAGGUUAUUAUAACUUGUAACAAGUAAAGUUUGACAAGAUGAACUUUGUGGAUAAGUUUGCUUUGACAUUUGUAACUUUAGUAAAUUUAUAAACCACAAAAGGAAGAAAUAAAAAUAAUCUGCCGAUCGAUCGUAACAUGUGAAAUAAUACCACUAUAUUACAAGUCUACAAUGACUUGUGUGUCUGUCUAUAUCGCGAGAGCGUUAUUUGACUAACUGAUAACGGAGUUAAAAAUUCUAACAAGACUCAUAGAAAGUUUUAUUUUUUUUAAUAAAUGACGUUCAACAAUAGGUUAUAUAGUAUAAAUAUGAAAAUUUUCUUUUAUGUAUAUAUACAGUAUAAUUUCCCCCUUCAUCUUCGUCUUUAGAAUUUGUACUUUAUCGUGUCAUAUUCCGUGACCUGAUAAUUAAGAUGAAGCAUUAAUUAAAUAAGAUCUGACGACAUGCAUGAUCUAUGAAAUUGUAAAUGUAAUGGGAUAAUAUCAAAGAAGAAACAAAGUAAAAAUUUUAAUUAAUUUGCUUUGCUAGUGGAUAACAUGCUUGUAUAAAAAGUAACAACAGACAAGACGUAUGAUACGUCGAUCGUUGUAGUUAAUCGAGUAGAGGCCAAUUCAAAUUUAUUUGUCUACAGAGAGCUAAACUUAAGCAAUACGUGAUUACUUCUUUUAGUAAAGGCGUUAUGAUACCCAAAUAAUUAAUUAUCUCAACAUGCAUGCAUGGGCCCCUAGCUAUAUAUCUAGUUGCAUUAUAUAAUAUUGUAUUCCUUUUAAUUAGUAUGAGUUUAGAGUUUAACUAGAUAGUAUACAUUCACUAUCUUAAAUAUACGAUCAAGUUAUUAGAAAUUUGUAGUAAACUAUAUGAGGAACAGUUUUAUAGCAAAUUAUAAUGAAUUGAUAAUUACCUGCAAAACAUGGUAAAUGGCAUGUAAUUACAUUAAUAUAGUAUGUAAAUCUUUUACAUUGUUUGUGUGUAUAAUUUAAAUUCUUAGUGAAAUAGUACUAUUUGAAUAUCUUAAGGUUAAAGCAUUUUCAAGGGAGAUGUAUAGAAGUAAGUAGCUUUAAAACGCUAAACUUCUUUUCACUUUGCACAUGCAAUUCCUAAUUUUACGAUGCAAAAUACUCAUCAUUUUCACCUAUAAAUAUCCAACAUAUCCAAUUCCUUCUUAUCACCUCUUCAAGAAAAAUAUUGGUAAAAACAAACAUGGCACUAUCAAAACCUUGUUUUUUGACUCUUCUAAUUUGUUUAAUAAUGUUGGCCCUAGUUUUUCCUUCACAUGCCCAAAACUCCCAAACAGACUACCUCAACAUUCAUAAUUCAGCUCGAUCUGAAGUUGGUGUUAGUGCAAUAACAUGGAACAGUACUCUUGAAACCUAUGCACAAAAUUAUGCCAAUCAAAGGAUCGGUGAUUGCAAUCUAGUCCACUCUAACGGCCCUUAUGGUGAAAAUAUUGCUAAGGGAAGUGGUUCUUUCACCGGUGCUGCUGCUGUCAACUUGUGGGUGAAUGAGAAGCAAUACUACGACUACGCUAGUAACACUUGUGCUACUGGACAACAAUGUGGGCAUUAUACUCAAGUGGUCUGGCGUAAUUCGAUUCGGGUUGGUUGUGCUAGGGUUCAAUGUACCAAUGGCUGGUGGUUUGUUAUUUGCAGCUAUGAUCCUCGAGGCAAUUACAUUGGUCAACGCCCUUACUAAUUAUUUUUACUAAAGAGUUUUAUAGUCAAACAAGAAAAUUGAUGAAUAAGCUACGUACUUUAUAGAGAUUUUUAUGAUCUCUAUAUUUAUGUAGCAUUUUAUAGCUUCGUUGGACCAAUAAAUUACAAGAAUUUUUUUCUUGUACCUGUUGUUUGAGUCUCUUUGUUUUAUGUAUGACAUAUUUAGUCAUCCUGUUAAAGGAUGAAAGUCACAUCAGAAACUAUUUGAGUUUAUUUUAUAUAUACAUGCAAGAAAUUUUUAACCAUCAUGUCAUCAUUUAUAUAUGUUAUAAUUGAUAAUAUAAUUUUUAUGAUUGCAAAUUUCACAUUUUGAAAAAAAAGAAAAAAACUUAUAUGUGAACAUUCUUUGAAAAAUCUGUUAGUGUAAACUAAUAAUCUAUAUAACUUACAUGUAAAACGUAAAGCAAAUUUUAGAUCAAUUGUCCAUUGAAUUCAUAAAUAUCAACUUAUUAAAGAAUGUUUCCUUCAAGCCAGCAAAAACAUUCUUGAAAUCACAUAUAAAGAAGAAGAAAAUAUAAAUACCCUUAUCCCAACACCCUUCCACCCUAUAAACGAAAAGGUGUACUAUCCCACCCUAUAAAAUAUAAAUAAAUAGAAGUAUAAAUAAAUUAUCAAAAUUAAAUUCAACACUUUGCUUCAUAGGAUAAAGAUACUUUGAUUAAAGGAACCAUCACAAACUUUUUGAUUUAAAUAAAUAUUUAGUAUGUAAAGAACAAACAUAAGAGUACAUAAAGAGAAAAAGGAAAGAAUCUUUUCGAUCUCUCAUACCCCGUUUUUGCAGAGGCAUUAAAUUUAAUCUCAUAAAAAUAUAAUUCGUCCAACCCGUUCAUCUAUACCUGUAAUCAUUAUUGAUUAGUAUUUUGGAAGAGAACACUCUAUGGGAAUAUUAUUUUGAAACCGUUGAUUGUCCAUGCAAUAAUCGUAUGUCAAAUGAUAUUUUCUAACCCAUUUAAACAACCUUCUUUGAGUCCAUGUCAAAGUACUGGAAUACCCCUUAUUCCACCAAUUAUUUUCACUUUCUACUCUGCAAAAUCUAGCAUUUCCUUUCCAAUUACAGGCAUCAACGCUGUAAUUUCCCAAUGUGGCCACAAAGGGUGCUUGUGACCAAUCAAUUUUUGUUUUUCCACCAUCUGUUGCCCAAGUUUCUCCAUUCCAUAUGCUGAUUUUGAGUUCCAUGGGCUGCCAACGAGGAUAUUUAGCACCUUUGUCAGCAUGGUUUCUAUAUGUUCUAAUAGGUACCCAAUCUACCAUGAACCUGCCCAAAGAAACAUAGGUUUAUAUAUCACCUUAUAGAUAAUAUGUUUUAUCAUCUAACAUUAUAAUGAAAUAAAACUCGAAUAGAGUGAUAUAUAUUGAUAAUUCAUAUAGUCAACUUUAACUAGUCCAAGACAGAAACGUAAGUUAUACAUGGUUGUGUCAUGUGUGUGAUGCUGAUGAAAAUGAUAUAAAGUGUAUGUCUGAGGCCCUGAGGGGCAAAUGAAGAGAGCAGUUUGUGUUUAACUGAUAAAUUUCAAAAACAAUUUUGUCAGUAUUGUGUCUGGCCAAUGUUCCAAAUGCACUUAUGCCAAUUAAAAGACUACUUUAAAGCCUUUUUUUGAAGGAGUAGGGGGGAUGCAAAAUAAUUGUACGAAGAAGAAAAAAGACUUACACAAUUUGGUGAAGGUUCCAUAGUAUAGAAUAAGUGUGGAAGUCUUGUGUUGGAUCAAACCACAGACUGAUUCUCUCUUCUCUAUCGUCAGAUCCGUCAACAUAAACAUUCGUUUGAAGAGUAAAAGGCUUCCCAGCCACAUUCCCCAGAAAUUCAAAAUCUACCUCGUCAUGAUUUGGUUGCCCCGAAGCUAACUGCAUAUAUAUAUGUAGUUCCUAAUUCAUUAAAAUUUUUAAAGAAAUAUUGAAGAAUAAUCUUCUCUUUUAUAACUUACAUAAAAUGCCACAACGGUGCCUGCUGAAUUUCCUGAUAUCAACUUAAUUUUCAUGUCGAAUUGACCAAAUAAGUACAUAUCGUUCGAAGCAAUUUCUGUACCUGAUUAACAAGUUGAUCAAAACGAAAAUUAUUAAGAAAAUAUUCAUCAAAUUAACAUUGUGUUCAUAGCCAAAAAAAAAUAAUAAUAAUAAUAAUAAUAAUAAUAAUAAUAAUAAUAAUAAUAAACAACAGAAAAGUUGCAUUUCAAUUAAUUAAUUAAUUAAUUAAUUACCGGAUUCUUUGUCAAAUAUCAAGCUUCUUGUACGGCCAUCAGCAGAAGUGUUUACAUGGUUAGGUGAAUAGUUUACGUAGAAAUCCUUAUUGAAGUCUCCCGUAGAAACUAUAGAAGCUAAUAUAAUAUGAGAUAAAUAAUUAAAAAUAGUGACAAACAAAAUAAGUUUAGAGAAAUUUUUCAUGUUUGAGCAUAUAUGAGGCAACAGGGAUUAUUGAGAAAAUAUAUAUAGUUUGUAUUGCAUGGGAAGGAGAAUAACCCAUAAGAGUUUGUUUAAGUAAGAAUAUCUUUAAUAUGAAGCAAAGGAGUAGUAUCAAGUUAUAUGCUAGUUGUAAUUAGAAGCAUAUUCAAUAAAAUAAGCUUCUCCAUGUCGUGUUACGAUUGAAAAUGUGUCACUAACUUAGCUAUUAGAGUAGACAUAGAGUUGUCGCAUAAUUUUUAAUGGAACUAAGAAAUCAAUUUAUAAAAUGGGGCAAUUCGGUACAUUAAAGAGUUUGUUAUGGAAGGGUCGGGGGAAGGUCUGACCACAAGAUUCUAUUGUUUAGCCUUACUUUGCAUUUCUGUCAUAGGGUGUUAUCAAAGCUUGACUCUGUAACCUCCUGAUCAUAUAACAAUAACUUUACUAAUUACUACAAGACCCCCCUUCCUGUUAAGAAAUUAAUUUAAAAAGGAUAUUAGAAAACCUUACUUUUCUAAACCUGAGAAAAAGGUAAUAAUUUUUAUUAUCUCCUGAGGAAGGUGCUAGAUGUGUCAGGAAAUUAACAACUAGGAUUCACUGGCGAAUUUAAAUAUUUUGUGGCCAGAAGAGUAUAAAUAUUUUGUAAAAUGGAAUUUGAAAAAAAAUAGAAAUUAAUAAUUUUAUUAAUUCAAUCAGUAAAUUAAUUUUAGAAUUCUCGACUAUGUUGCAACGCAGUGGUUAACUUCUAAAAAAUAUAACUGUCAUAUCAUUUAAAAUGAAACUUUAAAUUAAAUACUUUAAUCCAGCUUCCAAUUAAUUAACACAUGAAUUUAUUUUUGUAACUUGUAAAUUUAUGAAUUAUUUCCAAGCUAUUUAGAUAAACUUUGGCGUUGAGUCCUAGGGCCCGUUUGUCCAUGAAAUUUUUUCCUUUUUUCCAAAAAAAUUUUCGGAGUUAGAAAUUAUGGUGGUUGGCCAUAAAAAUUCAGAAAAUAAUUUCAGAAAAUUUUUCUAAAAAGGGAAAACAAGUUUUUGGUGUUUUCACAAUUUUCUAACUUCAAUUCCAACUUUUAUUAUUAUUACAUAUAACCCCAAUCUUUUAAAUUUUUACAUAAAACUCUCCUUAUAACAUUACUUUUUCAAUAUUAUGUAUAUAGCAGUUUUAAAGAAUAAGGUAAUUAUAAUUUCAAACUUAAUGAUGUACUAAUUAAUAUAUAUCUCUUUUUCUCUCUCAUCAUUAUUUUUUCCCUUAUUUAAUUUUCUUCCUUUUUUAAGACAUUAUUUUACUGCUAAUGAUCCUAAUUACUAUAAUAUAAUAAUAAUAAUAAUAAUUUUUCUGUUGCGAUAUGGACGUUUAAGAAAUUAUAGUCGUGUAAUUAAUGUGGAUGAUUGUUUUCUAUAUUUAUGGAAUUAAUAAAUUUGUAACAAAUUAGUUUACCACUGCCACAAAUUAUUCUCAUUUUUAAUUUGAUUAUAAAUAUUAUAUUGUGUAUAUCUUUAUUAUACUAUUCAAACAUAAAUAGUUUAUACCAUAUAUAUGCUAAAAAUAUAAAUCGGUGAUACAUAUUUUUCAUAAACUGCAAUUGCUACCUUUAUAUACCAUAAUACUUGGUAUCUUUAUACACAACGUAUUAUAUUUAUACCCAUAAAUAUAUAAAGUAUUAUAUUUAUAACAGAAAUAUACAAAGUAUGGUUUAUAUAAAGUUUAUACCAUGUAUAUACUAUAUACACACAUAUAAAUAUACAAAGUAUCAAGAAACAUACUAAGCAUAUUUAUAACGUAAAUAUACAAAGUAUGUUAUCUAUGAAAUUUAUACUAUGUAUAUACCAUAUACACACAUAUAUAAAUAUACAAAGUAUAAAGAAACAUACUAAGCAUAUUUAUAUAUUUAUGGUAUAUGAUAUAAUAUACCGUAAAUAUGCAAACUAUGUUUUACAUAGAAAUAAUUUAUUCACACAGUAAAAUCUUUCAUGUAUAAAAAAAUUAAAGAAAUAAAUUAGCAGCACCCUAAAAUUUAAUAACAACUCAUCAUUUCCUAUUUUUUAGGAACAUAAAAUAAAGGAAAUAAACUAAGUAAAUUUCUAAAAAAAUAAAUUUGUUUGAAAGAUAAUAUUUGUUACCUAAAAAAUAGAAAGCAGUGAUCUGUUAAUAUAACAUCCAUAUUUAAAAUUUUCAAAUAUGAGAAAACGGCUAUUAAUGUAAAUAUUAUAUAUGUCAUAAUUGAAAUUCAUUAAAUAUGAUCAUGUAUAUGUAAUUAUUUUUAUAAAAGUGGCUAAUUGUGUUCUUUUCUCGUUAGUAGGUAAAUUUUAGUUGGUUGAUUUUGAUAGUUUGUAAAAGUUGGAGCAUAAAAUCAUAUUUUUAAAAGUUUUUUCAAAAGUCAAAAAAAAAAAAAAUUCAAAAAAGACAUGACUAAACAUAACUCCAACUCCAACUUCAACUCUAACUCCAAAAAAUUUUAAUUUUCAUGGCCAAACAACUACUUAAUUAGAUAAAAUCUGUUUUGGUUUGAAAAAUUAGUAUAAAAUGAUAUAGGUAGCAAAAUUAUGCGGGAAAUAUUUUUUUCUUACCGAAGUUAAAAAUAUUUUUCAAAACUUAUACAUUUAACUAUGGCGUGAUUAUACUUGUUUAUGUAAUAUUAUCUUGACUUUUAAAAAUUAAAUAGGACACAUGUCGCUCGUCUAAACAUCUACUACACGACUUAAAGAGAAAAGGCAAUGGAGAAGAGCUGAAUCCGUUAUCUUUUUAUCGACGACAAUGAAAAUGGACGGAAUACAUAUAUAGGCCGCUAAACUAAUUCACUUUUUUCGUAUAGACACCUUAAUUAAGCUAGAUACCUAUUGAACCCUUUACUCAUUCACAAAUUAUUUCAAUUGAGCCCAAUUUACUGACGUGGCAGAAAAUAAAAAUGCGUGUAAUAUACACGCUGAUAAUGUGGCAAAGUAACGAAUUAAAUAACGACACAUGACAUUUUGACUUAAAAUAAUUAUAAAAAUAAUUUUCUAAUAUAAUUAAAUCUAAAUUUUUAAAACAAAUCAUUAAUUACCCACCCCCACCCGCAAAUGCACCUACCCGAUCUGCCCUCCCCCUCUCUUCCCUUCCAAACUUACUUUCACCAUUUUUGAGCAGACGACUAAAAGAAAAAAAAAUAUUCUCCAUUUUUUAGCACAGACAAAUAAAAAAAAUAAAAUAGCAUCCUCUUCUUCUUUCCUUCCAAACACCCCUUUCUCCAUCUUGGAGCACAAACAAGUAAAAACAAAAAACAAUGAUAUCUUCUUCUUUUACCCUUCCAAACACUUCUUUCUUCAUUUUUUAGCACAAAAAAGUAAAAAAAAAGUGGUAUCUUCUUCUUCUUUCAAUUAUUCGCGGUGUUUUUUAACAAUAAAACCUUCAAUAAUAGCUUCCGUAAUUUGAACAGUGUUUUGAUUAUUCCCAAUUUGAACCAAACUGGCUUCCGUACGUACUUCAGUAAUGACUUUCGUAAUGACUCGAAUUAUCAGUAAAUUCAAUUUCUCCGACUGUAACAACGCCGUCACACAUCGUGAAAUUGACUUCUCCGGUAAGCAGCGGCGUCUUUCCGGUUCUCUCCUUAACGAUAUUUUUGUCAAAUUCAUAAUAUGACCAAUUCGUUUCAAAAGGAAAAUCUCCGUCGAGUACGACGAUUUCUACUUUUAAUGGAUACGAAAAAUUGGGGGAGUAUGUGUGUGUAGUUAUGUGUGUGGCGUUGUGAAAGAAUUCUUUGUAUGUAAAAAAAUGGAAAAUGGUGAGUUAAUGGAGAAGAAGAUGAAAUGAAAAAUGGUGAGUUAUGGAGAAAAAGUUAUCCUAUUUUUUUGUAUGUAAAAAAAUGAAAAAUAGUGAGUCGUGAAGAUAUGCUAUUUUUUGUAUGUAAAAAAAAAUGGAAAAUGGUGAGUUAUGGAGAAGAAGAUGAUUGCUUUAUUUUUCUUUUUAUUUCAUUAAUAUAUCUUUUUAAAUUGGUUGGAAUUUUAUGUUUAAUUUUGUUUUAUUAAUUAUGAUCUCUCACUCUCCUAAUGGAGAGUAUAUUACACAUGCCACGCCAUGUCAGCGCCACGUCAACAAUUGUGCUCAAUUAAAACGUUUUGUGAAAGAGUAAAGGGUUCAAUAGGUACCUGACCUAAUUGAAGUGCCUAUACGGAAAAAGUCGAAUAGUUAAGGGCCCUUUAUAUAUAUUUAGCCAUGAAAAUGUAAUAUGUAAGUAUGUAUGUGUCAAUAAUACGGCCAAAAUGUGAGAAGAAAUAUUGCAUGGGUUAAAAGCCAUUGUAAGUUGUAUUGAAUUUGGAUCAAACCACAAGUUGGUAGCCUCUUCACUAUAUAUCACCCCAUCCACCAACAAAAAACAUUCGUUUGCAUAGGUUUUCCAGCUACAUUCUCCAGAAUUUAAAAUGCACCUAGUCAUGAUUUGCUUGAUACGAAAACUAUUACAUUACUAAACCCUCAAUGUAUCAUAAAUUUGCCCCAAAAAGCAUAGUUUUAUCACCUUAAUUAAUUAAAAUAUGUAAUUUUUUUAAAAAAGUAAUCAAUUUACAUAGUGCAUUUGUGAUGCACAAAAUGCACAUGAGGCACAUAAAUUGUACGUGGAUGACACAUGCAAAAUUAUAAUUUUGGAACGUAUAUAAAACAAAACAACAAUGCCUGCUGNNNNNNNNNNNNNNNNNNNACUUUGCAAUAUUAAUUUAAUUUUCAUAUCAAUUAUUCAAAAAGUACUUAUCUUUCGAAUCCAUCACCAAACCUGAACAAGUUAAUACAAAAAAAAACAUAAGUAAACGUUAAUAAAACAUUUUUUUUCGGUAAUCAAAGUAUUUUAUUAAUCACCAAAGAGCAUUAAAGUCUACAACAAGCCACAUCCCAGCUUGUUGUUUUCAUAUAUAACAGCAAUACAAACUCAAAUUCUAACUACUCUAACCAAGACCAACAACUAUUACUGCCAAUAAAAACUAGAAAACUUUCACUGAAAAAAGAUUAAACUAGAAAAUAAGGCCUAACAGAUAGUUUCUCAAGUCUCCAGUAGCUCUCACAAUACAGAUGAAUGUCAUUUCUUUGACCAACUCUUUAGGUGCCCUCUGCAUUUUGUCAAAUAUUCUUGUGUUCCUCUCGAUCCAAAUAGUAUAAAGAGUUUCAGUACAGACUUGUUUCAACAGUUUAGCCCUCUUAGAAUUACCUUUGGUUGCUUGAAUAAACCACCAUUGAAGGUGCACAUUGACAGGUAUUGGUACUCACAGCCAUCUAAAGACUCUUAACCAGAGUUGCGUAGUGAAAUAACAUUUUCAAAAUAAAUGAACACUAGUUUCUGGAGAGGUCUUACAGAAAACACACUCAGGAUCAAUAUUGAUACUCCAUUUGGCAAGCUUAUCCACUGUGUUCAAAUAACCAUGCAAAUAUAUCCACAGAACAAAAAUAGCCUUAGGUUUGGCUAUGUUUUUGCACAUGAGAUGUUUCCAUUCUUUCUUCAGUAGGUUCCCAAAUGAUUGCUUAUAAAAUUGUCAGAUUAAACUGUGUUUGGAGUCGGCAAUCUGCAAUUCUUUUACAUUAUCUCUUGCAGCAAAGAGUUUCUUGGUUAUCCAACUUGCUUGUUGUGGCACCUGCACUUUCAUAAAAUCUCCAUUUUUUAUAUAAUAACUGUGAAUCCACCUGGCAAACAUAUUUUUUCUAUGCUACCAAAACCUUUUUAGUGAUUGUAUUAGUCCCUGACCAGAUGUAGCUUCUGCAAUAAGCCUCAAUAAUUUUGGUAACUUUGACAGGUAUCAAAAACAAUUGAGCCUAGUAAGCUUAAAUGCCAAAUAUCACUGUCUUGACUAGUUGGACCCUUCCUGCAUAGGAUAAGGUUUUUGUUGUCCAAGAGGUAAUUUUUGCCACUAUCUUCUCAAUUAGAGGUUGCCACUGACUAAGAGUAAGUUUUUUUUUUAUGCUAGGGGAAUGCCCAAAUACUUAAAAGGCAAUGCCCUUUGAGAAUAACCAAGGUGCUGAAUAAUAGUUACUUUCUUAGAAUCAGAUACACCACCAAAAUAAAUACAACUUUUAGUCAAAUUAACCUGCAACCCUGAAGCUUUAGAGAAGUCUGUAAAUCUUGCAUGCAUAAGAUUAACAGAUUCUAUAUCACCCCUAGCAAAGAGAAGUAGGUCGUCUGCAAAACUGAUAUAAGUUAACUUCAACUUUUCACAUUUAGGAUGAUAGUUAUAAUCAACAUCAUUCAGGGUAGCCAGCUGUCUACUCAAGUAUUCCAUCACUAUGACAAAAAAAUAAGGGGAGAGCGAAUCUCCCUGUCUAAGACCUUUUGCAACAUUGAAAGGGUCUGUUGGUUCACCAUUGAUAGUAAUAGUAUAGUUAGUUCACUGUAGUCACACAUUCCAUGAUCCAGUUAGUAAAUUGAGAGGGAAACUUGAGCUCCUCCAGAAUCUGUCUAAUAUAAGUCCACUCAACUAAAUCAUAAGCUUUUCAUAGAAAAAGAAAGAAAGAAAUUAGAAAUAUAAAAAUUUAAUUUUCAUUUAUUGGAUUCCUUAUCCAACGUCAUACCUUUUAUAAGGCCGUCAUUGAAUGUAUUUACGUGACUGUCAUUUUAUUUCAAAAUCUUUAUUGAAAUCUCAUGUAGAAAUUUUAGACACUAAUAUACUAUGAAAUUAAAAAAAAUGCUAAAAACAUAAGCUUAGACAUUUUUUUCUCUUUGAAAUUUUCAAAAGUGGCUAAUAUAUUAAUCUAUUAUUAUCUGUACAGUAAUCAUAUACCAAAUAGCUUUUUCUGUUUCAUAUGUGCAUCGAGAAUUCCAACAGUUGAAAAAGAGGAUAUCCAACUCCUUUAUCAGCAAGGUUUAUGUAUGUUCAAUUACACCCUAUUAAAUGCAAUUUGUUUGGAUUCAAGUCCUUUAAUUAAAGAAUAAGGAAUAGUUAUCAAUCACCUCUAACAUCUCCUAUACCAACCUCAAUUUUAAUGGGAUAAAAGAGAUGAAGUAUAUAAAUUCUCCUUAGGAAAAAUAAAAAUAUAAUAAAAAUUUAUUGGUGUUUAUCAGGUCUAAAUGAUAUGAAAAAUCAUUUGUACAAAACUUCUGAUGAACUAAAGUUUAAAAAGAAAAAAGAGAUCAAUUAACAGUCCAUAUGUGUUUUAAUAAAUAAUUAGUAAUAAUUAAUGUAGAAAAUUCACAUACUUGAUAAAAGAUCAAAUACUUUAGACGUAUUUUUCAUCCUUGACUCUUUCUAAAACAUGUCUUCAAAUUAGUCUUCGGGCUGUCAAGAGUUUGAACAGUCUUACCUGCCAUCUUUGAGAAAGUACAGUUAUUUAAUUUCCCAUCGGCCCUUUUUAUACUCUUUUCUUUGUUACCCUCUUCAUUUCAUAUUAGUUGGUCAUUUUAUUAAAAAUAAUUAUUUCAUAUUAAUUGUUUACUUUACUAAAUUGAAAAUAAAUUAUUUCCAGAUUUAUUAUCCCAAAAUAAGUUGUACAAACAUAUAUAUGU